rnacentral:lncRNA from 1 species
GGAUGAUGAGUAGUCAGCUUGUGCUUGGAUGGCAGGAGAAACCAAUGCAGGACCCUGACUUGGAUUGGCUGAACCCAAAAAAAAAAAAAAUUUAAUUAAUUAAAAAUAAUAAUAAUACACAUAUAUACAUACAUAUUUUCAUGAUUUCUAAAGUUCAAACUUCUCUUUUCCGUUCUUGGAAUUUGUUAAUAACUAAAGCAUCACUUAUAAACUGUUCUGUAAGGAAGACCUAGAAUAUUUGCACUCAAACAGUAGAUGGAAAGUACUUCAUCCAGGAUUUAGGAUAUGGGCUCCGAUUAAACCAAAUAUUCAAAUGGUACAUCAGAUGCUUCAGUACUUUGGACCGUCUUUCUCUAUUUAAAAAAUUAAUUCUUCAUUAACCUUAAUUAAAGUAGUCAUCUUUUUCCUCACAUAAAUCAUGAAAAUUCUGUUUAAAGUACAAGAUUUUUCCUCACUUAGUAGACAUAAUAUACAUUGACCAGCCAACAGCCCUUAGCAACUUUAACUUACAAUAUGCAGGCCACUUUGUUAUGAGCUCCAAGCUAGAUUCAUAUUCAGUUAAGAUGUGCUUCUUCAAUUAUAUGACGAAACAAGCUGUGCUCCUAGAAUUACAUGAAGAAACAAAUUAAAAUACAAUGCUUCAAUAUUUUGCCUUUAUAAGACUAAUGUCUUCACAUACUCAGGAAAAGGUACGUGACCGCAUUAAAAUUACUGAAAACAAAUUGUAGCAAAAAACAUUCAUCAUGAAAAGUUUAGGGAACUUCAACACGAGUACAAAAAUGAGAAGCCAAAAAAAAAAAAUUAAAUAAUGCUGUACCUAUGUGAGUAGGUUUUUUAAGUCUAAAGCACGUAGAAACCGUAAGUCCUAAAUAAAUUCAUUGAAAUUGAAAGGCUUACUAUUAUAUAAUUAUCAUAAAUAAAUAAGCCAGAUGGUAUUUCAGAAAAUAUACCAUUACUAGUUCAAUUGUGCACAUUUAAAAAUUGGGUCCAUAAUCACUCACAAAUAUGAGAAUUGAUGACUUUAACAAUUGACCAUCAGGGAACGUAAUCCUAUGUGCUCUCUGUAAAGUAACUAUUUAUCAAAAAUACAUUGAAAAUCCAAAUUAUUCCAGCGAUAAUUAGUAUACUUAAAAAAUGUGCAGCUAAAACCUACUAAGUCAAAAGUAAGGUAGCUCAGUAUGGGGUCAAUGUAGAGCGAAAAACAAAAUUCAUCAAAGAGUGAAUAUGGUGAUAAUAGGACACUACUUUCUUUUACUCAAGGAGUGAAGCAUACGUGAACGAUUUUAUGCAGGUGGCAUAUUUCUUUGUCUUCCAUGAAGGUUAAUUUAUAAUGCAUGUACAUACUUCAAAUAGAAGGAUAAAUUAGAAAAGAAUAAUUUCUAGAGUUGAGAUAAAGCACUUUAGAUGUAAUUGAGGGAAAGAUGAAAAAGGAAUCAUAUAUAGCACAUACGUUCUUUUAGCCUCAUGUAAGCAACUUUUGCUGCACUCAUCUCCGCUUGCUUCUUGGACUUUGCUUCUUGUCCAGAAAAAACUUGUCCUCCUACCUCAACAGUUGACACAAAAGUUGGUGCAUGAGAUUCACCAGAUUGCUUAGUAUUAUAAACUGGCAAAGCAUACGCUUCUUUCUGAGCCAAUUCUUGCAAAAGGUUCUUGUAAAGAACAGAAUCAUCCUGGAAAAAUAUGUUUAUUAACAAAAUAUGCGAAUAUGAAAGAAGAUAGAUCACUACUAAUACGAAAUUCAUAAGUUAUUCAUUAACAGUUAAUUAGAAGACUGGCCUGUUGAAAUUUAUCAAGUGACAAUGACAUUAAUGCAACUUUCGCCGCUUCAUGCUCGGCAUCUUUUAAAGUAGGAAAAAACUGAUGACUCUCAUAAGUUUGUCCAUCAAUUGUGACCUUACACUUGAAACGACUAGCAUGAGGAGGACCUUCCCUCUCACAUGAAUACAUAGGAAGAGGGAGAUUUUUCUUUUGAGUAUAGCUCUGCAGCUGGUUUUUGUAUAGGUGUUGCAUAUCUAUAAUUCAGAAAGAAAUUAUGAGUCACAUGACUUCUCAUCAUAAACAAUAGAAAUUCUUUCAUUUCCUUAUUUAUUGCCUAGAUAAAAACCAGAAGUCAAAUGUUCAGAAUGCAAGGAAAUAGGAUGUCAAUUCAAUGAAACAUCAGUAAACAUAGCAGUGAUGGCUGAAUCGCCUUGAGGAUAGAAAUACCCCGACCUUACCCUCCCCCGCUCCUUAAAAGAGUACCCUUCAUCCAUACCCCACUCUCACAUCAGGACUGCCAUCUUUAAUAGUUCUUACCACAGUAGGACUGGAACGCACACCCAUGAUCUGUGUCCCGCCAGUACAAUAUUUUAACUAAGUAGCAGCAGAACGCCAAAAAGCAUCAAUGUAAUUGAAUGGAUAAAAUAAGUACCAUCUAAGCUAAAUUCAUACCUUCAAACAAGAAACCAUCGAUGCGAUCAUCAAGCUAAAUGCCCAAGCAAUGUACUAAAGCAAUCAAAUCUAAGAAAUUGAACGUACAAAAUAAGUUCCAAUUAAGCUAAAUUCAUACCUUCAAGUCAGAUACCUCUUACUUGAAAUAAAUCAAGGUUACAGGAGAUGAGAGCACAAUCAGCUUAAUUGGUAGAGUUUAAAAAAUAUUAGGUCCUCUCUGGGGCAUACACAAUGAUGAAGAUGAAAAAGAUGAAGACUCAAAAAGUGAGAGAGAGAAAGGAGAAAGCUGAGAUUAGCUGCUUAGAGAAGGAGGCAGCAGAGAGGAAACCAAAUGGGAACAAAACCCUAACCUUGGGAAAGGAAAUAAUAUAAACAUAUACUAAGGUAUUUAUACGAGAAAAAAUACCUGGGAAAGGGCUGAAAAGAAAGAAGUUGUAUCUAUACCCCAACUGCACCCUAUUAGUUAUUUGAUUGACACAUUGCUUGACCCAAUUGGCUAGGUGUUUCCUCGUACGGGCACUGAAUAUGAAGCAGUGUGAACACUGAAAUUUCAAGUUUCCUUAUAUAUACUUUUUGAUUUCACUAUUUUACUUCUUUUCACUCACCUGAGGCUCAAUGUAAGAUCGUCAAAUAGACGGAAUACCUGAGGCUCAAUGUAAGAUCUUCAAAUAGAUGGAAUUGGAUUGAAAGAUUGAGUUCUCUCACUUGAUAUCAAAUUCAGAGUUAACUUAGAGAUCUAUUUCAUUAUAUGUUAUUAGUGCGUCUCAAAAAUGACAUGUAAUGGUCCACUCAAAUGUUUUAUUUAAAUAUCCGUCCAUAUAUUAUCCAAUAUUCCCUUUCAACAUUACCGUACCUAGCAUUAAUAAAUUUUAGGCACAUCACAGCAUAUCCAAAUUUACGUAUGUCCAGCAAUUUUCUAAUUGAAAAUGAUUUUGUACAUAAAAAUACAGAUAUGUGGACAAGAACAACAAUCAAGAUCAUCAAAUUUAGUAUGGAAGAAAAGAAUACAAAUGAAAAUAUGUGACAAUCCAACUUCAAUUGAAGUUGUUAAUUAGAACUUCACCAAGGCCAACAGAAGUAUGAGAAACAUGAAUCAUAAUUAUAAAAAAUAAUAAUAACAUAAAUCACUUAGAAGUUCUCUGAUGCGGUAAAUUGAAAUAGAGCUACAUUCAAGAAAUCAUGACUAUAGGCUUUGUCUUUAAUAGCCUCUUUAAUCCUCAAUCUUUUGACAUCACCAUAGCAGAAAAGUAAGUACACAAAAUUCAACAAUAUAUGCAUGAUCAAUCAAUAAAACCAAUAAACCAAAUAUCUAAAUCAAGAAAUUACAGAAAGGAAAAGAAAUUAUUACUAAAAUAAUUAUCUGACCUCUUGAUUUGUGAACAUCAUUGACAGUUGAGAUCGUUGCAUUGACCUGAGUAGUUCGAUCUGUUUCUCGAGCAUUUACUUGCACUGCACUUUCACUCGAAGAACCUACAAAAAUUAUUUAUAACCCAGUGUAAAGAAGAAGUAAAGUUUUCCGCACGAACAUGGUAAAGUAAAGUUUUCUGUAGGAAAAUGGUAACUUCAAAAUCCGUUUCAAACCUAUCAUACAUCCCCCACCCUCAUUUAAGACUAGUGCUUGCAAAAACUAGAAGUAAUUUAUCCAGAACAUAAAAGCAGAGAAAAUCCAGUCCAGUAUAAAUAUAAAAUUAGAUAAUACCUACCAUUUACCAUUUCAUUCAAGAACACCACACAGUUAACGAAACCAACAUAGGUAUGUUUCCAACUGUUGUACUUUCAAGUUAAUUUUGAAAGCGCGGAAGCUAAAGCCUAAACUGUUGUUUGAUAAAAGCCCAUCCACUGACUGAUACUUGGCGGGUAGCAAUUCCAUUCAAUAGCAGUCAUAGAAUAAAAGUACAAAACAAACCCCUGUUUAAAAAAUGCAAUGAAGCAGCCAUGAUUUCAAUUAUUUGCAUGUCUGGGAUUGCAGUUGAUUCCAAAUUGAGAAUAUACUUCGAGAAUAUGUUUGAUAAGCCCUUAUGUGAUGAUCGCUGGUUUAUUGAGUCUUAAAAGAACAACUCAAUCAACUAAUGUUUGAUUUGAAAAAAAAAAAUGGCAAAUCAAAAAAGUUUUGGAGUAGAUUCUCAAAAGAGUGAUUAUUUGAUAAUCCACCAUAAUCCCACAUAGUUAUCAGAAUGAAAUUAAAAUCCGAGGAAUGUUAUUUAAGGCAAACAGCACUUUUUUUAUUUUAACCAACACUUGCAAAUUGCAAUUCUUAAACUAAAAGCAUGCAAAAUAAAUGCAAAUUAAGAACGCACCUAACAGAAAAUAAUAAUAAUAAUAAUCUGAAUUGGCAAUAUUAAAAUUACCGUUAGAAGAGGAAGCGGCAGGAGUAGAGGAUGGUGGAGGAGGAGACGAGAAAUGUUGGAAAGCGAUUCUAGCGGCGUCGUUUUGGGCCUCUUUGGACGACUUGUAAAGAUCCGGAGUGGUGAAAGAUUGGUCGUUAACGGUAACGGUUGCUUGAAAGCGAGGGUUGUGGUCAAGGCCUUGUUUGGCUGUUGUGUAUACUGGCAAGUUCCACACUCUCUGGUGGCAUAGCUCCUGCAGCUUCGUUUUGUACAUCUUUUUUGCUUACAAUAUUUUCACUGAUUUUAAUUUUUUUUUUGGAAUGGGAAACUCAAGAGAAGAGAGAAAUGGAAUUUAGUUGCAAAAUUUGAAGUUUAAUUAUCAAAUAUUACGCCAAGAGAGUACGCUUCAGUUCCACGAACAGGUUCAGAAUAAAUGACGCUUGGGAAUGCUGAAAUGGAAUAAGGCCUUUUUAUAAACAAAUAAUAAUAGUAAACCGACGCCACGGUGUUUUAAAAAUAAGUUUUUUUUUUUUUAACCUUGAAAUUCCUUAUCACAGUGACGUUUUAAAAUAAUAUUUUUUUAAAAUGCAAAAAAAAAAUUUCUUUCUACCAUUUAUAAAAAAGAAAACUUAAAUAAUUUACUGUAUUAAACGUUAAAAUAAACUAAUAAAAAAUUAUCGAUAUUCUAAAAACCAAAUAAAUAAUACCUUUCCUUUAUCUUCUUCUCAAGGAAGGUGGCUAAAAACUUUCUUCUCCAAAGAGAUCUUGUUCUAUAAGGAGACAUGACAUGAAAGUUGAAGGAGAGGGUGAUCGAAGGGGGGAAUAAAAAAUCUUUUAUGGUUGGCUCGUGGACAUGGACUUCUUAUGAAAGGUGGUAACGCUGUCUCAACGUCAUAAUUAUACCGAAGCUAAGUCCAUUUCAAUCAAUAUAAAAUAUGAAUGCGGUAACGACUAACGAGAAGUUAAUAGUUUUGGAUCAAACGAAUAUACAACGUCGUUCGUGUGUUUAUCAAAUAAGAAUUCAAUUUAAACAAUGUAAAUGUGUUAACAAGAAAUUGAGAGUUAUUGAUAAGACGAGCAUAAAAUUAAAACGUCAUUCAUAUGUUCAUCAAACAAGAGUCCAUUUAUGUAUAUGUAUUAACAAGGAGUAGGGAGUUUUAGGUAAGACAAGCAUGUUGAGUUGUAAUCGGAAUAGACAGAAAUCAGAAUAGGAAAUGGAGAUCAGAAUAAAUUAUUUAUUUGAACUGUAGGAAUCGAAAUCGGAAUGAAUUGAAUUGUCAUAAAUGUGUUUACUUUGUCUUGGAAUCGGAAUCGAAAUGAAUUAAAUUAUAACAAAUUAUUAAAAAGUACUUAAUAAAUUAUUGUUAUAAUUAUUAUUUUAUAUUUUAAUUAUAGUGAUUAUUUAUUCAAAAAUUAUUAUUAUUAAUUAUUGUCAAUAAUAUAUUGAUAUAUUAAUUAAUUAUAAUUAUUAUUAUAAAUAUAUUAAUUACUAAUAUUAAUAUAUUUAUCUGCUGUACCGUACAUCCNNNNNNNNNNNNNNNNNNNNNNNNNNNNNNNNNNNNNNNNNNNNNNNNNNNNNNNNNNNNNNNNNNNNNNNNNNNNNNNNNNNNNNNNNNNNNNNNNNNNNNNNNNNNNNNNNNNNNNNNNNNNNNNNNNNNNNNNNNNNNNNNNNNNNNNNNNNNNNNNNNNNNNNNNNNNNNNNNNNNNNNNNNNNNNNNNNNNNNNNNNNNNNNNNNNNNNNNNNNNNNNNNNNNNNNNNNNNNNNNNNNNCAUCUGCUGUACGGCCAAGGCGGAUGUACGGUACAGCAGAUUUGACUUUUUAUUUUUUAUAUUUAUAUCUUUUAUUUAAAGAAGGGGCAUUUUAAGAAAUUUUGAAUGUCAACGGAAGCAAAAGAACUCUAGGUAAUGGGAGAUUGAUUCUCACCUCUCCCAAGGAAUCAAUCUCUCAUUCCUCAUUCUCAAAUAGUGGUGGGUUCCAUGAUUUCAAUUCUGAUUCUUACUCCAUUUUUUGGAAGUAAAUGCCGUUAAUCAUUUUGAUUCUCCAAUUUGGAAAAUAAAUGUACCAUAAUAUUUAAUCAAUUAUUAUGAUUAUUGGAUUUUUCAGAUACUUUUAUCUAUUUUGGUUGGAGGGACGAAGUUCACUUUCUAUUAAAAGAAACAUUAGAGGAGCUUUCAAAGUCUAGGCUAAGGUUGUUUCCCAUGGCCUUGAAGCAAUACCCAAAAAGAGCUUUCCGGCUGGCAAAAUAGGCUUGUGUUUCUGCGUCGCAAAAUGAUGUGAAUGAGCUUUCGGAGUGUUUCCUCUGAAAUUUUAGAUGCUGCAAAAUCAACAUUGUCCCGCUCGAAGUAACCCGGACAAUUUCAUUUCCUAAUUUCUUCUUAUUUAUUAUGGCAUUGAUUUUCAUUGCAAGCUCAUUGCUCUGCUAAGAAAAAGAAUAAAUGGGGGCCAAAAAAGGAAGAAAGAAAUAGAGGCAAAGGCAACAACAUUAAUGCACAAACCAGUAAAGGUAUUCCAUCGAUUUACGGCCACUGAUAGCAAGCCGGGGCCUUUAAAAACGGAAAAUACAAGCAAAGAAAAAUAGAAGCCAAUUGCUCAAUAGUGCAUAAUAUGCAUACGGAAAAUUUUCAUCACAUCACGACCCACAGUUAUUCGAAUAGGUAAUAAGACAGGAAUUUUCUUUCUUUGUUUAAAGUGAAAAAAAAAAAAAUCAAUGGCUCAGGAAGUAUCCCUCCAAUCUCCAGAACCACUCACUUGGCACUGGCAAGCUGGGUGCGGAGUAGCUUGGCAGCAGCGACCAUGUUUGAGAGGGCUGGCUUCACCUCAGUGUACUUGCGAGUCUUAAGACCACAGUCAGGGUUAACCCACAAAAUGUUGGUUUCUAGCACAGCAAGCAUCUUGUUGAUUCUGUCAGCAAUUUCUUCAGUUGAUGGUAUUCUUGGAGAGUGGAUGUCAUACACACCAGGGCCAAUUCCAGCACCAUACUUGACUCCCUCACGGAAGACAGACAGGAGCUUCUCAUCAGAACGAGAGUUCUCAAUGGUGAUCACAUCAGCAUCCAUGUCGAUAAUUGAGUGGAUAAUGUCGUUGAAGUUGGAGUAGCACAUGUGGGUGUGGAUCUGUCAAUCAAUAUACAAUAAGAUGAGACACAACAUCAACAGCUAAAUUAGAGAGAUGAGAUUGGAGAUUGAAAGGGCAACUGACCUGGGUAGUGUCCUGGACGCCACAGUUGGUGAUUCUGAAGGAGUGGACUGCCCAGUCCAAGUAGAAAGCAUGCUCAGAUUUCCUAAGAGGCAAUCCUUCCCUCAAGGCAGCCUCAUCAAUUUGAAUAACGUUAAUGCCUGCCUUCUCAAGAUCCUCGACUUCGUCCUUGAUGGCCAAAGCAAUCUGGUAGCAGGUUUCAUGUCUGCAAAAUUGGCAGCGAUUUAUGUUAAACAAUGUUUCCAUUUCAAAAGGUUAACCAAUAGUGAACCAGUUCUCAUUUAUAUACCUGGGCUGGUCAUUUCUAACAAAGGACCAGUUGAGAAUGGUGACAGGGCCAGUAAGCAUUCCUUUCAUUGGGCGAGCUGUCAUGCUCUGAGCCAAGGAGGACCAGAAGACGGUCAUAGCCUUGGGACGGCUCACAUCACCAUAGAUGAUGGGUGGCUUCACACAGCGAGAUCCAUAGGAUUGCACCCACCCAUUGGCAGUGAAGGCGAAACCUGAUAAUUGCUCUCCAAAGUACUCAACCAUGUCGUUCCUCUACAAAAACAAAUGUCCCAAUUCAAUAUGAGAUACAGCAUACUUCGUAUGCAAUUAGAAAUGCAGAAACAAAAAUGUAUAAAAUUUUAUCUAAUUCAAAACCAGGAGACAUUGCUUUGCUUCCAUUGGGCAUUGUGAAACUCACCUCAGGCUCUCCAUGGACAAGGACAUCAAUAUCAAGCUCUUCUUGGAGUUUGACAACCUUGUUGAUUUCCUCCUUGAUGGAAGCAACAUAUUCUUCCUCAGAAAUCCUAAAAAGGACAAAUAGUCACGGCACAGUUAAUACAGUAGUCGAAGUAAUUUCACACAUGGCAUUGAAUGAAGGAAAACCUCAGAUUGACUCACUUCUUAGCCUUGUAUUCACGGCGGACUCUCCUAAGUUCAAUGGUUUGUGGGAAGGAUCCAAUUGUGGUGGUUGGGAGGAUUGGAAGAUUGAGCUUCUUCUGUUGAGCAUCCAAUCUAGCACUAACGUUUGUAGCACGUCUGUGGUCUGAUCCCUUCAAAGCAGCAGCCUAAUUUACCAAGAGGAAGGAAUCACCGUUAGCAAAAAAAGGAAACUCUAAGGGGCAGCCACAUCAUAAAAAUGGAAAACAAAUCAAUCAUGCCACUUACAGCCUUUUGAACUCUCUCAUUGGUCACUCUCGGGGAGGACUUUCUUGAAGCCUGAGCUGCAGCAUUGGCAGAGAAGAAUCCCUGGAAACAAAUGAAAAGGAGAAACAAAGUUAGUCUCAUUCAUAUCAUUUCAAAAGGAAUAUACAUAUGCAAUUAGUGGGCUGAUUGUGAGAGAAAAUGUCCACAAAACUUUAACCAAACACCAAAUGCCCAAGUUGCCAAAUGAUGUUUAAUUCGGAAAAAUAUAUUUAGAAACAUUCAAAUAAAUAAUUUCCCCUUCUAAAUUUUCAUUUUCAACAACAUAUUUUACAAGCCAAGCUCAACUUCAGGCCAAGAUUUUCUGCUCCUAUAAUUAUAUUUUACCAUAAAACUAGGUCCUUGAAAGGCUAAGAUUUUCUGACUCUUGUGACUAGUCAAAGCCUAAGAUUCUUUCAAUUCAUCCGUAGCUAACAUUUUAGACUAAAAGUAUACCUCAUCCUUUUGGCCAGCCAAAGCCUUGGCCAAUGCAUUCACUUCAACAACUUUCUGGGCAGCAAAUGCCAGCCAUGACUUGAUUUCAUCGUCGAGUUUGUUCUCAUUAACAAGAUCAACAGCAGUGUGAAGAAGUGAGCAGGAGGUGGAGACCACAAGCUUGUCUGCAAAGAAAAAUAAUAAAUUAUACAACAAAUCCCAUAAAAGAAUAAGAAAUAUUUAUCACAAAGAAAAAUGCAGGCAAAGGAUGUAUACCUUUGCCAACAACACCCUCAAGCCCCCGGAGAACACUAAGAGAAGCAGCAAGAUCAUUGGCCCAAAUGUUCCUUCCAUCAACCACUCCAGCAAAGAGGUACUUGCCAGCAGGGAAUCCACUCUUGAUCAAUUCAAGGGUCUUCGUUCCACGAACCAAAUCAAAUCCAUAAGCGGUGACACCCUUCAAAGAAGUGAGGGUCUGGAAUGCCUCAGCUGGAACAUCAGCAAAGUAGGUCUCAACAAGAACAUUCAAGCCAGACAGAGUUGACUCUAGCUCGGCAUAAGCCUCACUGAAUGCAUGCAAUUUGUGUGAGUCAAGAUCCAUAACAAGCAAUGGCUCAUCAAACUGAAUCCAGGAAGCACCAGCAGCCUUAAGCUCAGAAAUAACUUCCCUGCAGAAGUGUUAAUUGGUACAACACAGAUUAAUGAUGUCACUCGAUAUAUACACACAGAGUUAUUUAGCACAUACACAUUUAUAAAUCAGUAAUAGGUGAUAAUUUCUUACUUGUAGAUUGGAAGGAUUUUCGGAAGAAGAGAAAGAAGAGAAAAGGUCUUCGCAACACCCUUGGCAGGCUUAGACAGCAACAAGUAUGACACAGGGCCAAUAAGCACUGGGACAGUUUCAACUCCAAGCUGCAGCAUUAGACAAGUGAUCGAUAUUAGCAUCUCACAAACUUGAUCUGAUUGAUAGAAAGUUACAAGCAAGUUCAGAAUUCGUUUAAUGAAAUCUCUAUGAAAAAUCUUCAGGGUCCACAAUGUGUUGAAAGUACCCUUUUCAAGUAAUUUAUCUUAAGACUAUUUUGCAAACAGUAUUGCUUUCCUUACAGAUCAAAUAAAUCAAACAACAUAUGAACACAUUUACUGAACCAAGUCUAAGUUCAAAGCUCUAUAAAUAAAUGUCAAUGAAUCUAUAGUAAAUUCUAUUGCAUCCUAAGCUAAAGAUGAGCAUAUCAUAUAAGAAUUUCAAGGUGAACGUAACCCAAUUUCAAUAUAUUGUAGAUUCAGAUAUCAAACGAAAUAAAAUUUGUAAAUAUAGACAGAACUGAGAAUAAACACUCACCCCCUUAGCCUCCUUGUACUCAGUCACAGCCUUGUGGGAAGCGUAGGAGAACUUAACAUCGGGUCCCAAUUCAGGAACAAUGAAAUGACUGCAUCAACACGAAGCCAAACACGCGUCAGCAUUCAGUACAAAACCAUUACACCAUAAAUAACUUGAAAUGCCGCUCUUCCAAGUAGUGAAUACUUACUAGUUGGUGUCGAACCACUUGGUCAUUUCCAUAGCGGGAACAGAGGCGUUUCCUCUGGCCAUGGAGAAGUAAACAUCAAAUCCAAUCUCGCCGCCGUUCCAGUUAUACCUCGGGGGCACGGCACCGAGCAUUGCGGUGGUGUCGAGCACUUGGUCGUAGUAGGAGAAAGUGUUGCUGGGAAUGUAUUUGAUCCCGGCCUGGGACAUCUGUUUCCAGAUGGAGGAUCUGAGAUCAGCGGACACCUUUUGCAAAUCCUCAGCGCUGCUCUUGCCAUCCCAGAAGGAUUCCAACGCGAACUUGAGCUCCCUCUUGGGGCCCAUGCGUGGGUAUCCAACGAUGUGAGAUGCCAUUUUACUGUCAUAAUCACGUCAUCAAUGAAUCGAAAAUCAGUCACUUUCAUUAAAUCAAGAAAAUAUUCAUUCAAAUGGAUGGGUCAUUGCUAUUACUGCUCAAAUCAAAUGAAAUCAAGAACACUUAUCAGAGCAUAAAAUCUUAAAUUAAUUUUUUUAUAAAAAAAUAAAAAACCAGUUGAAACAAGCUGAUAAUAAUCCAAGAGUUUGAGAUGAUUUUUUUCUUUCUGUAAUCACAUGAACAAUUAUGUACUUUCAGUCAUUUUUGAAGGAUUAAAACAAAAAAUUCUACAAAUAGAUUCUGAAAAGAAGAAUCUAAAAAUAGAUUCAAAAACAGUAACACAAGUAGAGUUCAAAUUGUUUUUCGGAAAAGAUUAAUUACAGAUCUGAUUGAUUCACGUUCAGAUCUAGCAAAAUCACGGCAGCCAAACACUAGAUCUAACACUAACAGUCACUCACCAGUCCAUUAGAAAAUGAAAUCAAGUUCAAAAUUCUUUUAAAGUUAAUUCUUUUUUAGAAAAUGACCAGAUUUUAGUUGAGUAUUAGUGAGUUUUUUACAAAAUAAUUUAUUUUUGUUUUUUAGAUCCAAAAGUUCGGAAAUCAAAACCAUGUUCAAUGCUUAUUCAUGAUUAACGGCGUAAAAACGCUACUGCAGAGAAGACAUAACGAAAAUGGGAACCGUACCAAACAGAGAAAGAAGAGCAGAGAAAUUGAGAGUCGAGAGGAGAGAGAGAAGAGAGCGGCGAGUUUGGGGGAGUGCCCUCUCCGUUAUUUAUAGCCAAAAAUCAAAUCUGGUUUGGUGGUUGCCUUUGGCGUGCCAACCUGUAGAUCUGAGAUUUUUCAUCUUAAUUUCUUUCUCUUAUUUAUUUAUUUAUUUAUUAUGAUUUUCAGUGCAGUUCAUAAAAUAUAGAGCUGACGCGCGCUUUUCUGAUGUGGCGCGUGAAUUGGAAAUGCGGUAGGUCUUUGUGGGCCCCACGGCACGGUCAGGACUGAAGGAAAAAUGUGAGAAGUUAUCAUAAUUUCAACAGUGCCAUAAUUAGCAAUUACACCACCAAAUAUUUCUUGAGUUUUUUUUUUUUGAUUGCUUUAAAUGCAGAGUUGUUAUGAAUUGUGUUAAUUGUAGAGUUGUUAUGAUUAGAUUACAUUAUAAUUCGUCACAAUUAUGAUAGGUAUGUACGUAUAUAAUAAUUUAUGAGUAAUGAUAUAACCACAAACUCUUAUACAAACUUAUUUUGUACAAAUUGAUGUGGCAUGAUAAAAUUAGUUGAAUUAAAUAUUACUUGAUCCACAUGAUUUGUUAUUAUUAUUUUAUAUUUUCAUUCAACCAAUGAAUUAAUGACACGUCAGUUUGUACAAGAUAAGUUUGUACAAGAGUUUAUGGUUGUAUCAUCACUCAUAAUUUAUAUAAGAUCUCGAAUAUUUAAAAAAUUUAUAAAUCAUUAUUUUCAUGUACAUUUACCUGGUAGCAAUGACAAUAACAUAAAAUAAACUCCAAACAAGAAUGGAUUAUAUUAUUUAUGUUAUUUUAUAGCUUUUUAAUUGAUUUUUAAAAGGAUUAAUUGUUAAUCAUUACUCUCCAACCGUAAUCACCAUUAAAUAUUUAUUUAAUUUAAUAGUCGGUAGAUCAUAAAUAAGAUUAGAAUAUUUAAUGGACAAUCUAAUUGCUACUACAAUUGUUAUCAUUUUUUUAAGGUAAGGGAUUAGACAAUACUCAAAUUUAUUUUUUAACCCCUUACUCCCUAAAGAUUCGAAUUUAACUAACUAAUUAAAUAAGACUGCUUAAAAACCACUCAACCACAUCUUUUGGGGACCAAUUAAUAUCGAUGUUUAAACUGAGGUUUAUUAUUAAAUUUUUUAAGUUUCAAGUUUCAACCGCUAACAACAUUAUCAUCGAUUAAUGAUAAAUAUAAUAAUAUUUCAUCAAAAAACCAUUUAACACAUCCAUCCAUAUUAAACAUAAGUAAAAAAUUUAUCAUGCAUUUCAAAUAUAUUUUUCAUCCUAAAAGUUAUGGAGAAAAUCUUGAUAUCAAAACUUACAAUGUAAUUAUGGGAUGUAAUUUUGCAUUUGAGGUCAGCACAACUUAAAAAUUACUAUGAAUGAAAAUUUAUAAUAAGCAGACACCACAAAAAAAAAUUAUUUAUAAGUAUUACAAUCAUGCAGUUUUAUUUAAGUAUUUAACCAAGUCAUUCAAUUUCUAAUUAAGACGGUAUAAAUUAGAUUUGGGCUGCCUAAGACCAAAAGUCAAAAAAAAAAAAAGAAUAUUCCUAAUAAGCAGCCUACCGCGGUCACGCGCCUUAAGAAACGCUUGGACUUAGCACACGAUUUUAAUCCAAAAUGUAUAAAAAAGGAAAAAUUUAUGAGGUGUAUAAUUAUCUUGAGUUGUUAUAUUUUGAAGAAACAAUGAAGAAAGUUGGUGGCCGAAGUUGAUCCGGGGCGAAUGGUGGUGGGCCCACGUUGUUGCAUUAUAAUUGGAGUUAUUGUAAUUUUUCUUAUAAUUAAUAAACUCCAUUUUUCAAAGAAAAUAAAUAAAUAAAUACACUCCCGAUUACGAAAAUAUCAUUUCAUGAGUGUCAAAGUUAGAGCUGGCAAAAUUUGACACGACCCGAUUACCUGACACGAACACGACAUAAAUAAAUAAGUAUGGAUCGUCAAAUUUAACACGAUUAUUAAAUGGGUCGGGUCUGGGUCAACACAAUUUUUUUCCGUGUCGGGUUUGGGUUAAAAUUCUUGACCCAUUUACCCGAUCAAUGACCCGAUUAUAUUUUCUAUUUUAAAAUAAUUUACAUAUUCUUAUAAUUAAAACUCAAAUAUUAGAGAUAUUUUUUUUAUUCUUUAAAAUGGUGAAUAUAAACACAGUGUUUUAUUUAUAAAAUUUUACAUACAUUUAGAGCUUCAAUAGUGUAAAUGUGUAAAAAUUGAUAGACAUGUAUAUUUUAUAAUAUUGAUAUAUAAUAUUAUAUAUAUAUAUAUAUAAUUAAAACCUCAAUAGUGUACAUGUGUAAUAUAUUGGUAGAUAUGUAUAUUUUAUAAUAUCGAUAAAUUAUGUAUGUAUGUAUUUAUGUACAUACGUAUGUAUGUAUUUAUGUAUAUACGUAUGUAUGUAUUUAUGUACAUACGUAUGUAUGAUAGUGUGUAAAUAUUUUAUGUAACUUUUGUUCAAUAUAUAGAUAUUAAACGGGUUAUUGGGUAACCCGAUUGUUUUUCCGUGUCGGGUUUGGGUCUCAAUAUUUUGACACGAUUAUUAAAUGGGUCGGGUUUGGGUCGACCUAAAUUUGACACGACACGACACGAACACGACCCGAUGACCCGUUUUGCCAGCUCUAGUCAAAGUGACCGUCACCUACGCAUCGCGUUUGUUGGGCGGGGUGGGUAAGGUGGGGCGAGGAGUUUGUUUGAUCGUCUGAUUACUUUGAUUUUGAUGAAACGUAUGGACGACGGCGAUGGCUUGCCAGCAAGUGGGUUUAUCAUGAUUUUGAUUGUAUUCGGGGAGAUGCUUAUGUAUAUCCUCAAAACUUCUUGGAAAUGAAAACCGCUGGGGUGGCAAAUCUUGACCAAUAAAGUGUGCGUGAUGUUGCGUUUAUAAAUUUCAAUAAUACUAUUGGCCGAUUGAGAUUAUUUUUAAAAAGUUUAAAAAUAAUUUUUAAAGGUUAAAUGUUAAUUUUAAUAUUGAAUAAAUUUUUAAAAAUUAUUUUUGAUAAAAUCAUUUUAUCCUCCAAUAAAUUUUAAAAAAUAGCGAUACAGUAAUUUUUUAAAAUCUAAUUUUAAUAAUCAAAACUAUUUUUUUAUAUAAUUUUAUAGAUAUCCGCAUAUAUAUAUUAUAAAAAUUCGAAAUCAUUAUUAUUAAUUAGGAAAUAAAAUCAUUAACUUUUAAGAAAUUAUUAUUAUUACCAAUUAUACUGACAUAACAAAAUAAAAAAUUAAUUAAUAUUAUAAAUAUUUAUUUCAGUUAUCAACUAUUAUAUAUACACAAUAAAAAAUAUUUUAUAUACAUAUUUAUAAAUGUAUAAAUAAUUUUUAUUCAAUAUUAUAUCGAAUUAAUCAUUUACAUUCUUGCAACAAGUUAACAAUAAAAUUUACCAAACACAUACGAUUGUUUUUAAAACUCAUAUUAUUUUUUUAAAAAAAAAUUACUAAACCUUUAACUGAUUCUCUUACAACUGAUUAUUUCUACAGUACAAUUAACAACAAUUAUUUUAAAAACUAUAACAUUUUCAAACUAGCCCCAUGACAAUAUUGUUAUUGUUGUUUUUCUUACUCUUAUCAAUAAAACUACGUUGCACAUAAGUGCAUAAAAAUUCACACAAAAUAAACUAUUUAACUUUAGGGUAUUAAUUGAAAAAAAAAAUCAGAUUAAGGUGAAUAAAUAUCAGAAAAUAACAAAUAGAUAAACUCUCACACUCUUUAAAAAAAUUAAUUUUAUAAUUUUAUUUAAAACCAACAGAUAUUACCAAACUUAACGGAUCAAUGUUCCAAUGUUUUCUUUUUAAUUUCAAAACCAACAGAUAUUCUUUGUUCAUUAUAUGACCUCCAAACAAAUAAUUUCAUUAAUAAAAUAAUAAUGAAAAGUAUCGUGGUGAGUACAGAGUAAUUCGGUGGCUAAUAAAAGUCUCUAUUUUUCGUCUCUGUUUUUCAUUUUAACUCUUGGGGUUGGUGCCACUUCGGCCUUGGUCGGAGUGGUGGGCUGCUGCCCUCACAAGUAUUGUGAGGACAGUGGUUCAAGCCCCCACAAAUAUUUUUGUGGGGGCUAACGUACUUAUUUAUUUAAUAUUUCAAAAAUUUCUUCUCCCUCGUGCAAUACGAGUGGAGUAUGGACAUCCCUCCUCUAUAAGGGAUUAUUUGUCUGGGCAUGUACUUCACAGAAUUCAAUGUAAUAAUAUAAGUCUCAAUCAUAUAUUUUUGAUUGUAAAUAUCAAUAUAAUAUAUCUGCUAUAAUAGCAGUUGUAAAUAUCUGUGUAAUGCAAUAAUAUGAUAAUUAAUCAUUAUUCAAAAAAAAAACUCUUGGGGUUGGUAGGCUCGUGAAUGGUCCACGUAACCUCUGGACGUAACACUCAAACAAAGACAGCACAAGGCACAUGAAAAAUGCCUAAAAACCGUAAAACCGUGACGUGUUCAACAUAUUAAUAAAUUUAUACUGUGUUUUCUUUUUUUUUUUAAUACUGUGUUGAUAAAGCACUUACGAUGGAACGACCAAUUCUAUUACUUGCAAAACUAAUUAAUAUUUCACUCUAUCAUCUAACUAAUGGAAGGCCAUCUUAAUUGAGGUUGCAAUAGUUAGAAAGUAGCGGGAAGGGUGGCCAAUGCUCCAUAUUAAUUUGCAUCAAUCCCUUUCUGGUGAAGAAGUACGGGUGAAGUAGAGGUCAAAGUUAGAAGAUGAAGGGUGUGUUUGGGAAUUGAGAGUGAGGUGCUGUAGUUUUUUAGCUGCAGUUGCUGUGAAAUAAAAGUUAUAACUGUGGAAUAGAAGUUGAGAAAAAAAAUUUGUUAAGCUGCCAAAGCCCAGUUACAAAUGUUACCAAACACCUUAGUAGCUAGGCUUUGGCAGCCCAUCUACCCCAUCACACUCCCAAACGGAUUAGAAGGGGACCGGGAUUGCUUUGUCAUAUUUGAAAAUGAUUUUGAAAAAAUAAAAAUUAAGUUCAGAAUUUGGUAAAUUCCUUUAAAAUUUCUUUUAGCAAAAUCACUCUCUCCUUUAGAUUUUGAAAAGUAUGGAAUGAGUAGUUUUUUAAAAUUUAAUUUUGAAAUUCGGAUUCAUAUUUAAUAUAAUACCAUAUAUCAUAACAUGUAUUAUAAAAAUCUAAAAUUAUCCUUAUUCAAUCAAUUAAGAAGUAAAAUCUUACAUUUAAAGAUAUUAUCAUUAUCAAUUAUAUUUAGAUAAUAAAAAAUACAAUUAAUAAAAUAAAAAUAUUUAUUUUAGUUAUCAAUUAUUAUAUAUAUACAUAAAAUGUAAUUAUAUAAACAUAUUUAUAAAUGUAUGUGUAAAUUAAAUUUGUAGAUUUAUGUUUAUAUAGAUCAUUUGCAUUCUUAUCACAUUUUAAAAGUGAGAUUUAUUAAAUAUAUAUAUGAUUAUUUUUAAAAUUUACAGCACUUUUUAAAACAAAAGUAUCAAAAGUUUAAUUGAUUCCUUAUUUUUACUGUACAACUAACAGUAAGAUGUGUUUGGUUCAAGUAUAAAAUGAUGGGAUUGGACAAUUUUAAGAUUAAAUAAUCCUAAUGCAAUGUUUGGUACCAAAAAUAAUUGUGGGAUAAAAAUAGUGGACCCCACCAUUUAAUCCAACACAAUGUCAAAAUUUUAUCACAAAGGGGGGUGUGGGAUAAGCUAAAACUUAAACGUAGGAUAACAAAAAAAAAGCCCAAAAUUUUAUACAACACAGUGAUUUUUUUUUUUUUUUGAGUAUGUCAUCAUCCAAUGAUAGUAUAUAUGCCAGAACACUCUUUUGACGUUAAUGAUAUGUAAUAUUUUCAUAUAUACAGCUAGUGACAUUGUUAUGUAAUUUCUUUUUCAUUUAUAGAUUUAUAUUAUUAUUAUAUUUGUUGAUGAUAUUCUUGUUAUGUUUAUAAUUAUAUUAUUUAGUAAUUUAUAAGUUUAAAAACUAUAACAUGUUAAAUAUAAGAAAAACUUUAAGCGAAGAUUUUGUAUUUUUUAACAAAUUUACCAAUAAUUUUUUAUUUAAGUUAGAUUAUAUUCCAUGUCAUUUUAAAAUAAAUCUAAGAUAAUUUUGAUAAAUUAAUAAAUAAGACAUAUUAUUAGUUACUAACCAAUUUCAUGGCAUACCAAACAUGAGAUAUGAUUAUUUACAGUCUAAUCCAACAUUGCACCAAACGUAAUAGAGUAUUAUAUAUAAUCCAAUGUUAUCAAAUCCAAUCAUAUCUUAUCCAAUCCGAUCCGAUCCAGUCUAAUCCAAUUUGACAUACCAAACAAGCCCUAAUUAUGUUAAAAACUACAUCAUUACCAAACUGACCCUUAAUACAAUCUCAUACAUACAUACAUAUAUAUAUAUAUAUUAAAAAUUAAAAAUUAUCUUUAUUUAGUUAGGAAAUAAAACCAUUAUAUUUAAAUAGAUUAAUAUUAUUACUAAUUAUAUUCAGAUAACAAAAUUAAUAAAAUAAAAAUAUUUGUUUGAUUUAUCAAUUAUUAUACACACAUAUUUAUAAAUGCAUGCGUAAAUAAAAUUUUAUAGAUUUAGGCCAAGGCGGAUGUACGGUACAGCAGUAUCUUUAUUUAGUUAGGAAAUAAAACCAUUAUAUUUAAAUAGAUUAAUAUUAUUACUAAUUAUAUUCAGAUAACAAAAUUAAUAAAAUAAAAAUAUUUGUUUGAUUUAUCAAUUAUUAUACACACAUAUUUAUAAAUGCAUGCGUAAAUAAAAUUUUAUAGAUUUAUGUCUAUUUAAAUCAUUUGCAUUCUUAUAACAUUUUAAAAAAAGAAAAGAAAAGUGAUUUACCAAAUACAUGUAAUUGUUCUUCAAACUUACAACACUUUUAAAAUAGAAUUUAAUAAAUGUUUAAUUAAUUUUUUCACAGCUGAUUAUUUUUAUGGUAUAACUAACAAUAAUCUAUAAACUUAUGGUAAAUAUUUGUGUGAAUGUUGGUCCAUGUAAAGAAGUAAAAACAACGCAUAUAUCAAGCAAUAAGAUAUCAAAACUCUUAGUAAAAUACAUAUACUAAUGAAAGAAUGACAGCAAUGCAAUAAAUAAGAUUAUAAUAUAAAUUAUUAAAAUUGUAUAUUAAAAAUUGAUGUAUGAAAUUCUUUUUAUUUUAGUGAUAGAUAAUGUGAUAUAUUUGAAUAAUUUGAUUAAAUGAAAAGAAAAAUAACAAGUAUGGUUGUGGAGGAAAUAAACCAUUGAACUGUGGAAUGUUAUUAAUUAUUGCUAUUUCAUUAUGUAACGUCCUGAUAAUAAGUACAGUGUUAUAGUAUAUUGAUGGGUGGUGAUAUUGUCACCCCUUAAAUUGUGUAAAGUCAACCUCAUUUACAAAUUUUUUGAUAUAAAUUAAAAAGUACAUUAGUUUUAAUAAAUUAUAUAUUUAUUGAAUAAACUAGAACCGUUAGGGAGCUGUAAUGUUAGCACUGUUUUAACUUAUUAUAAAAAAAAAAGUUAUGAUUUGAUCAUAACUCUAAUUUAGAAAAGAAAAAAGAGUUGAAUUGCUAACAUACUUAAAAAUAAAAUAAAAACAUUAUUAUUAGAUGAAAAAUUGUAAAACUUAAGGGGGCAUUUGCAAGUCCGCCACUACUCAAUAGAGCAUUAUUCAGUACUCGUUAAUAUAUCUCGAACUUUUAGGUUUUUUUAAUAUAUUUUUAAUACAUUUUCUAGAACAUUUAGAUAAAAAGAGUCAGUACUCCAAUUGAGUUGUGAAUAAACAUUUAGAUAAAAAGAGUCAAUACUCCAAUUGAGUUGUGAAUAAACUCAUGUUAAAAAAAAAAAAACUCAUUUUCACACUUGAAACGAUUAGUAAAUGGGUGAUACGAAUUUAACUUGGUCAAUAAUAUAUACCAUCUUAAGUUAACUUCAACUCAUUGAUCUUCUAUAGGGUUGAUCAGCCUGCCACAAGGCCCACAAAUUAUCACCUCUAAUGCUUUUGCAACAGUCGUUAUAAAUGCUGACAAAAUGAAACUUCUAUAUAUUUUGGUUUUUUUUUAUUUCUAUGAAAUAUAAGGCCCUUAUGGCAAAUUUCCAUCCAGCGUGAAAUUUGCUAGUUUGGCCUUGGUACUGUGGCACAUGCGUCAUGCAUGCGUGGCUGAGAUGCUUCUAAAACUAAUAAAUUAUGAAGAAUUCCAAAUUCGUACCAAAAAUAAGAGAAUAGGAGCUUGUCAUAGGUGUCCGCGGAUCGGAUUUUAUGGGUUAAACAUUAAUUCAUAUUUGAUUCGUGAUUUUGUAGAUUAUAAAUUUUUAAUUUAAUUCAAUUUAUGGAUUAGUGAAACUCAAUACAAAUUCAAUCCAUAUAUAUGCAAAUUAGAUGCGGAUUUAACCCAAUGCAUAUUCAAUCCAUCAUUUGGCGGAUUGAUUUGCAAAUUAAAAGUUUUUAAUUUUGUCCAAUCUAAAAAGUAAUUAAAUUAAAAAAAUCUAAUAUAUAAAUAAUUGAUUAAAUAAAAAAAUCUAAUGUAAAAAUAAUUUUACUACCAAUUAAAUUCAAAAUUGAACAAGAUUUAAAUAAAUUUAGAAUAAUACAUUCAAAAUUUUAAAAUAUAACACACCGAAAAAAAAAUUCAUUUAUUUAGAUCAAUACAUGAAAAUUAACUAAAAUUAUGAAUUUAAAUGUUGAAACUUGAAAGCUUGGAUGUAACAGGAAGAAUUUAAGAAACUUGAAGAGCUUGAAAAGAAAGUAAGAAAUUAAGUUUAAUUACCUCAAGUGGUGAAGUGAAACAGUGAUUGGCUUGUGCGUGCGGUGGGAUAGAGAUUUGGUGUUAUAUGUCAAAAUAUUUUGUUUGGCUUGGGGUUUUUGUUUUGCUUUAGAAAUUUUAAUGUUUAGGAAACUAUAUUUGCUUAUUUAAUUAUUUCUUAUUUUAUAUUGUUAUCGAAUAAAAUAUAAUAUUUUGUUAAUUUAGCUAUAAUUUUAUGCUGAAUAUAUUUAUUUAAAACGAUUUUAUUAAAUAAAUGUGCAUAUUUAACGAAGGUCUCUGAAAUUUCAACCUGCCUGCUAAUGAUAGCCAAUACGGCACGACCCACCAAAUGUCGGCCCACGCGGGCUUGUGGGCCAUGACGACUUUUUUUGUAAGGGCCCGGCACGGCCCACGGCACGAGUCCGUGCCCAAAAAAAGCCCACCUACCUUUUUUUUUUUUGUCCACAUGUUCAGCGUGCCUAAAAAAACCCACGUGCCUGACGUGCUUUUUUAAGCCCACCAGCCUAAUAGUAACAACAACAACAACAAUAAUAAUAAUUUCAUAGAAAUAAUUAAUGAAAAAUAAAAUAACAAUUCUAGAAUAACAAUUACAUCUAAUUUUAUUUGAACAACUAAUAUUAUAAUUGCACAUAAACUCUAUUGAAUGAAAAUGUAAUUUUUAAUUUAUUAUAAAAAUAUUUUGUUCAUAAUUUUAUUUUUUUGUGCGUAAAUAUGAAAAAUAUUUCAUUCACAAAUGAAACAUAUCUCCAUUAACUAUUAACUAAGUUAUGAUUUCAUAAAUGAAAUAUUAAUGUCGUAAAAUUUUUUAUUUAUCAUUUAUAAAAUCAUGAUAUUUAUUUAUCCAUUUAAUAAAUUAUAAACAUAAAAAAAUUAGAAUACUUAUUUAAACUAGGACUUAAAUUAAUUUUAAAAAGCCUAUACUAAAAAAAUAUAUUAAAAUUUUUAAUUUCAAGGUAUUUAUAAAAUCAUGAUAUUUUAUAUUUAUUUUUCAUUAAAAAAUUUUAUUUUGAUAUACUUUGGCCCACGUGCUAUUGGUGGCCCACGGGCCGCGUGCUUAGCCCACCAAUAAAGUGUGCUUAUUACAUGCCUUUUCGCGUGCCGUGUUUUGCCCCAUCUCUAAUCAUACCGUGCUUUUAAGGCCUGCGUGCCUAAAAUUCUAGGCCCGCCAGCCGUGCCGUGCCGUGCCGUGCCUCGUGCCGCCUGGCCCAUUGGCCAUCCCUACUGCCCGCCAACCACAUUUGUCCAAGAUCAAUUUGUAGGAAAAAAAUUUGAAAAUCAAUAAUUUAUUUAAUUAAUUGUUAAUGUAGGCAUUUGAAUCCCCACAAAAUCUGGGUGUCAGUUCUAGACUUCUGGUGAUAUAUUUUUCUAAUUAAGGAAUAAAAUAUUUUUGUCAUUUUUUUAAUAUUUUAAUUUACCAGGCAUAUCAACUAAUUAAUUUUUCUACUUAGACUAUUAAUUCAUUACGUGCGCAAUCUGUAGCCCGGCGCUCCAAUCCCAUGCAUGUUACACACAACUCAAUCAUUAUUUAUUUAUUUAUUUAUUUUGACCAACAACUCAAUGUUUUUUAUAGAGCUGUCAAAAUUUGACACGACCCGAUUACCCGACACGAACACGACAUAAAUAAAUGGGUAUGGGUCGUCAAAUUUAACACGAUUAUUAAAUGGGUCGGGUCCGGGUCAACACGAUUUUUUUCCGUGUCGGGUUUUGGGUUAAAAUUCUUGACCCAUUUACCCGAUCAAUGACCCGAUUAUAUUUUCUAUUUUAAAAUAAUUUACAUAUUCUUAUAAUUAAAACUCAAAUAUUAGAGAUGAUUUUCUUUUUUUUUAUUCUUUAAAAGGGUGAUAUAUUUUAUAAUAUCGAUAAAUUAUGUAUGUAUGUAUUUAUGUACAUACGUAUGUAUGAUAGUGUGGAAAUAUUUUAUGUAACUUUUGUUCAAUAUAUAGAUAUUAAACGGGUUAUUGGGUAACCCGAUUAUUUUUCCGUGUCGGGUUUGGGUCUCAAUAUUUUGACACGAUUAUUAAAUGGGUCGGGUUUGGGUCGACCUAAAUUUGACACGACACGAAACUGACACGACAUGAACACGACCCGAUGACCCGUUUUGCCAGCUCUAGUUUUUUAAUAUGAAAAGGUAUUGGUUAGCUUUGUCUUUAGUUUUUUCAACUUAUAAUAAGUUUGUAUUAAGGCUCCCUUUGGUACAGAUUUUCAAGUAAAACUUAUUUAGGGUUAUUUUUAGGGACCUCCCCUGAGGUUUGGUGUAUUAACAAUCUGAUAGAAAGUAUUCACGUAAUUACAAAGACCUCCCCUGACAUUUGUAUUAUGUUAAGUGGACUGUUAUUGACUAUUGAAAAUCCAAAAAUACCCUUCCUGCCAAAAUAUUUCUUUAUUCACUGAUGAACUGAUGGGUAAUUCGUGCCAAAAUCACAAAUUACUUAAGAAGAUGAAAAUAUCCAUUGGAUAAAAAAAAUGAAAUUGCUUAAUAAAAAAAUUGACAUUGCAUAAUAAUAAAAAAAAUUGAAAUAAUGUGCGGCGGCAUAGCUGCAUCUUGCAUGCAUAUUAUUAUUGUGAUUUUUUUAUUACAAACUCCAUCCUGCAUGCUUAUUAUUAUUGUGAUUUUUUUUAUUACAAACUACUUCAUAACUAAUACAUGCCACAAGAGCAGAGCUAUUAAAAGAAAUGAUUUUCAUAUUGUAAACUUGAUAGUACAGGUGUUGGCACCGACCAUAAAACCCUUAUGAUACCAAUCUUUGCUCCAUCCAUAUUUAAAUCCAGAUCAAGUAAAUAUUAAAUUGGAUUUCAGGUCCUGAAAAUCCCACUCUAUAAUUGAUAUCUUCGAGUUUUGUUGGUGCCUCAAACCUGGAUCUAGAGCAUCAUCUCUGUCAUACUCGGAACACCUAAACUAAUGGACUUGCUGCAGCUGCUUAUUCUUCUUCUGAAAUGAUGCACGCAGAUAGAUUACAGACUUUGAAAUAAGAAAUACAAUAAACAACAUGUAAUCGAACUUAAGAUUUCGGCAAACUUGUUUGAAAAUUAGAAUCAAACAAGGAAAAUGGCAAGUCAAUAUUUUUUAAUCUAGAAAAAGGGCAAUUUCAAAGUUUAUCACAUGCCAAAUUCAUAGUCUUGCAUCCACUAUUUUCUAGUUUGAAUAACAAACAAAAGCCUUAGACAAAAACACAGAGAACAUCUCACAUGGGAGCAAAAAUUGUGUGUAGAACAAUAUACUUAAGUUACAUGUGAUUACAAUCACAUUAUUUAGCAAAUACAAAAUUACCUUCUCAAAAAAAAAAAAAAAAAAAAAAACACCACCAAAUUAUUGAAGGUAUUACAACAAUAAGGCAAAAGAACACCAAAGGCAUGCACAAACCGAAACUAACACACAACUCAAUUAGUGUCAUGACCCCAAACUGAACAAUCAUAUAAACCAUUGUGGGCUCUCUAAAAGAUUAUCACAUUAUAAGCAAACAGAAACCUAUAUUUGAUGAACUACAUCUAGUACUUACACAACUCUUAAAUCAUUAGGAAAUUGCUCUUAUCAGUCAUUACCCAAUAGUUUUUUUCAACUCAACACUAACAACCCCAAAGAGAAACAACAUCCAGCACCAUUUUCAUUAAUUAAAACAGACCCAUUGUUAUUUUUAAUCAAUAAAAUAACAACAAUAUCGUGUAAGCCACUGAUUCAAGCAUUCAAGCUGUGUUUUCGAAGACUGACCUCUUCUUGCUAUCUAAUUCCAGUCACGAUAGACGCUAGAUGCCGGCAAUACUCGCUUCUUGGAAGCUCUGGACCACCGCACGACGUCAUCUUGUGCAGUAGAUGAAAAUAAAUCAAUGAUUUCAGAAAUUAUUUGUGAGUUGCAGACGCUUCUUCUCCAUGGAUGAAAAUGAUGGUGGGUUUUGUUCAAGUGUAAGCUGUGUUUACGAGGAGAAGUACACUUUGUGAAAAAAUCAUUUUCUUUCAUCUACUGGAUAAUGACUUUGGACUGGGUAAUGGUGUGUUUAAGUCUCUAUUUCACGGACAUUGAAGCAUAUUUUGCUUGAAUUUUGAUUUUGUUUAAAUUUCAAGUUUACUUUUACUUGUUUACCCUUUUAUACUGACGCUUAUGUAUUUUUAUACUAACGUUAAGGGAGGUCUUUGUAAUUAUAUGAAUACUUUCUAUCAGACUGUUAAUACAACAAACCUCAGGGGAGGUCCCUAAAAAUAACCCAACUUAUUUAAAUAGAACUUUUACAAAAAAAAAUUUAGUUAUUUGGUUGUCAAUAAACUUUUCAAGUAUACUUUGUUUGGUACAGCUUUUCAAGUAAAACUUAUUUAAGUAGAGCUUUUACAAAAAAAAAAAAAUUAGUUGUUUGGUUGUCAAUAAAAAUUUUUAUUAAAAAAAAUAUGAAAUUACUUUAUUAGUCAAGUUUUUUUAAAGUUAUGCUAUGAAAAGAAUAAAAUAAGAUUGUCAAAUAAAUAGAAAAUAUUUUAAAUAUUUUAACAUUUAAAAAAACUUUUUAACCUUUAUUUUCAAAAAUCUAAAAUUUAAACUUUUACUAGUAAAGGCAAAAUAAUUUAUUUAAACUUCAAAAGCUUUAUUAGAAAAAUAAUCAAACAAUAACAAAAAUUAUUAUAAAAGCUUAUCGAAUUAAAUAAGUACUUAUAGUUAUUAAAGAAGUUAUAUCUAACAGACACUAAUGCCGAAAGCCCCUUCUAAUUGUGGGUGUAAAAGUUUGAAUUAUGCAUACGGUUAAGGAGUUAAGGUGUGUUUGGCAACUGCAUUAAGUGGAAAUUUUUAUUUUGUUUCGAAUAAAAAUACAGCAAGCUCGUGUUCGGCUCAAAAUAAUGGAACGUUUAAUUUGCAACCGUCGGCGGACGAAGCACACCGUUCACGGCCCUUCGUAUAAAAUUGCAUAUGUAAACGUAAAUAGGUCCGGAUUCAGAUUCGUUGCUGUAGAGAGUGGCACGCACGAUCGGGCUGCUGUCGGUGGUAGGUUGGCAUUGGAAUUCUCAUCACGCGCUUCCCCAGGCGCCUACUUAUGGCAAAUUGACACGUGACGCGUGUGGAUUGAAUGGACAGAGUCCCGGGCAGUGUGUCCAAAGCUGCCAACCGUGCUCUGAUUUUUGUCAUCCAUAAUGGCUAACGACUAACGAGGGAGAUUUCCGGGCAGAAAGAAAUUGUUGUCGUUUCUGAAGGGGAAAAAAAAGUUAUUUAAUUUGUUGUUGAAGACAAAAUGAAGAUCUAAAUAAAUAAUGGCUAAUUUUGAGUGUAAAGCAACGGUAAAUGCAUUAUUAAAUUAGAUUUAGGGUCUGAUUGAGAUUAUUUUUAGAUUUAAAAUUAAUUUUGAAAAGUUAAAAUUAAUUUUGAUGUUUAUUAAUUUUUAUUAAAAAUUAUUUUUGUCAAAAUCUCUCAUCCUCCAGCAUAUUAUAAAAAAUAAGGAAGAAAUAAUUUUUUAAAAUUUAAUUUUAAGAAUCAGUUUUAUACUUAAUAUAAUCCACAUAUAUCCUCGUAAAUAUUAUAAAAAUUUAAAAUUAUUCUUAUUUAUUUAGGAUAUAAAAUUAUUAAAUUCAAACAUAUUAUUAUUAUUAUUAUUAUUGUUAUUAUUAUUAUUAUUAUUAUAAAUUCACACACGCACACACAUACUUAUAAAUUUAUAAAUAAACUUUAUUUAACAUUUUGUUCACUUAAAUCAUUUAUAUUCUUAUAGCAGUUUAACAUUAUGAUUUACCAAACACAGAUAAUUAUUUUUAAAAUCCAUAAUAUUUUUUAAAAUAAAUUUUAAUAAAUGUUUAACUUAUUAUUCUGACAACUGAUUUUUUUUGUAAGGUAUAACCAUUAAUAAUAAAUAUUUUAAAAGUUACAGUAUCCCCAAAUUGGCCCUUACUAAUACUCUGCGUUGCCAACUAAAUACUAAUUGUAACAUUAAACAUCUGGAAUAUUUUUCUCUAACGAAACAACACAAUUAAUUUCCCUCUAAAAAAGAAAAAGAAAAAGAAAAAAUAAACUACCAACCCCACCCCUUUAGACAGCAGAGUUUUAGCUGAGGCGGCUUGCUUGCAUAAGCAUUAAGGCUGCUCUUCACCAACCAUUGAACAUUCUUUCCAUUUGAUUGUUACACUUUACUUCGCCAUCUCAUGUCCAUGUACAUUGUUUUGAAAUGAAGACUUUGCGUACAACUAAUCUUUUUCAAUUCAUAAUAAAAACUCUUUUAAUUAGUUAAUAGCUAUAGCUUCCAAUUGAGACUAUAUAUAAAAAUCCAUAUUGACUGACCAAACCAAUAAUUUUUAAUUGGCUUGAGCAUUGUCUUACUUACUUCAAAAUCGUCACUCUCUUUGAAAAGAACAUGAGAGAGUUCACCUCCAUCUCAACCCUUAACCCUAUAUCUCAGUCAAGAGAUUAUUCAUGGAAAAUUCAGAAAAAAGAAAUGUUGCAAUAUUUACGAAACUCACGUCACGUGAGGUAAGAUAAAUUAUUCCUUUCUGCUUUAAUUCAUGUACAUAAUCAUGAGAAUAACUUUAAUUAUAGUUUAUUUCUCCGUUUUAAGAUUUUUCCUUUUUUUUUUUUAAUUAAUUAAUUAUAGUUCAUUCAUUAAUCCCAUAAGAAAUUAACACCUUUGCCGGUAAAGUCACACAUACAACAAUAUUUUAGAACAAAAGGGAAGAUCAUGCACGAUCAUGAUGUUUUAUUAUAUCUCUAGCAAUAUAAUUAUCUUAUAAUUAAUUAAAAACAAAACAGGUAAUUAAGCCAAAGUGGAUGGCAUGCAUCAAUCAUCAUGCAGAACACCUCCCCUUGUUUUAAAUAUAAAUAAAAGAAAUUUGUGCCCAGAAGACUUAAUUAAUACUUCUCGUUUCUGAAGUGCUCACAUGAUAUAUAGUCGGACGCAUUAUAUUUAAUUUCAUGAAUUAAUCGUACGGUUGUAUUUUGAGAGAGAGAGAGAGAGAGAGAGUGACUGAGUAAGAUAUGGCUUAAUUUAACCAAAUCUACGUAUAAAAUUUUAAAAUGAAUUUUUGAGUUUUAACUUAGGAAUUGUCUAUGAAUAAAAGUGUUAAUCAAAUAUUUCGUGUAAAAACAGUCAGCUGUAACAUUUUCGGUUGCUUUAACAAAACUGUAUAUUUCUGUAAUUUCCUAUAUGGGCCAAAAGGAACAUUUUUCUCAGAAAUUAAAAACUUAUGGUGAAAAAGAUAAGAAAACCAACAGGUUCAAAGGUGCGAGUAAACUGGGCUCUGGUGCGCCCAACUCCCUCUUUUGAUUUUGAGACUCUAUUGACCAUUGAGUUUGAGGCCCCAACGGCCCAGUUUAAAACUGUUAUGAAAAGAAAAAAAAUAUAACUAUAAAAUUAAAAUUAAUAAUGUUUGAUAAAUAUAAUUUUUAAAUAAUAAUUUGACAAAAAUAAUAUAGGGUCUUGUGUAUAUUUUUAUUUGGCAUUUCAAUUAAUCUGCUUAUAUAUAUAUAUAUAUAAGUUAAUCUAUAUUUCUUGCAAGAAGAUAGUAUUUCUUUAAUUAAAGUCAUAACUAAUAUAUAAAUUAUCAACUAACCAUCAAACAUUUAUCUCAUUUUAUCUCCACCACGAUCAUCACCAUUCAUCCUGUCACGAUCUUUAUGUAACUACAAUUAUUUUUUCUUUAAUAAUGUCAACCCACCAACCCCAUAACAAUAUCUCCAAACAUCUCAUCUCAAAAUUCCUAAUAACAUAAGUGUUUAUGUAUGAAAGAAAAUGUGAAAUAUAUAAUCAAAAAGUAGUUUAAUAAUAUAAUGUUUAAAAAUUAUGGUAAAAAUAAGUGAGAGUUUGGCAUGGCAAGUUAAUAAAAAGAUAAAAGCUCGGACACUUGAUGCAUCAAAGUAGCAAUGUCUGUCCAUCAUUAUCAUCAUGCGGGUUUAGGUGCUUCUCAUGAUAGCAUUAGCUGGUAAGACCAUCAUGCAUCGUACUUUCAUUGUUAUACAUUUUGAAGGUAAGAAUGGUUAUGUUACGUCCCUCCGAUUAGGUGUAUUUUUCUUCUUCUUCUUCUUCUUUUUCUUCUUCUUGUACGUAAUAAUUUCUCUUUCUUCCAUGAAGAUUUCUUUCUCUCUUUCUUUUUUUUUUUUUUAUUAUAAAUAAAAUGAUAAGAACUAAUUUCCUUACUAAUUGGUAGGGUCGUUUAAUGGUUCAGAUCCAUUAGAUUUUGUCAAAUUCAAGUCCAAUCCAUCAUAUAUUCCAUUUUAUAUUCCGGAUCCGAUCACUAAUAGAAAUCCAUUAUAAUUUAAAACAAUAAAACGUCGAAUCCAAUUUAAUUCGAUAUGAUCAAUCCAAUUAAAAUAAAAAUUUACAAAUAAAAAUCAUUAGUUGCUCUCUCCAGUUAUAAUUCUUAACAAUUAAAAAAAAUACAAAAUAUCAACUCCUUUAAUAUUUCAUGAUUCAUGUACUUUAUUAUCAUAUGGUUGGAAAAAAAAGUUGAAAUUUGAAUAUUAAAAGCAAAUGUUGGUUGCGACCUGCUGUUUGUAUUCUAUAUUGUUAUAGUAUAUUUAUAGUUAUUUUUUUAGCAAGUUAAAUAUAAAAGUGACAUAUAGUUUUUUUUUAUAAAAAAAAAUAAAUAAAGAAAAUAAAAAAUUAAUUGGUUGGAUUGGUUUAUAUUGGAUUUGAACAUAUAGAUCCAUAGACCAAUCUAAUAACAUUAUAUUUUUUAUUUUGCAAUCUUAUCCAAUCCAAUCAAAAUGUCAAUAUGACAAAAGUUGGAUUGGUUUUGAUCAGAUCGAUUGGUUUGAUUGGAUUGAAUUGAAUUAGAUCUUGAACAUCCUACCAAUUAGACUUUCCGUGAUUUUUUUUUUUCCAAAUUUAAUAAAGAGACUUCCCAUGAAUGUUAAAUGCAGUUUUAUUGAUGAAUUCUGCAAUUUUAAGAAAUGUUUGAUACACGAAUAAUGCAUCUCAUCAACCAAGUAACUGCGUCCCCUGCAGCAGCCGCGGCUUCAACUGGAAUACUGCAGCCACACCGGUCUUGAGACUCAACAUUCGGCCGAAACUCAAGCAAAAGUUGAACAAUAUCAGGCCUGCUUUGAGCUAUAGCAAUAUGAAGCAAUGUUUGUCCCUGCGCACCAGCAGAAUCAGCUGGGUGGGUUCCAAGCAGGGUCACUCUGUUCAAGAACCUCUCUUAUCUCAUCCAUUUCACCAUCCUUAACUAGCUGAACCACAACAUGGGACCCAACAAACAUGAUCUUGAUUCCUAUUGAUGAACGCUGGCUUCUUCCUUCUUGUGAACCAGUCACCAGGAACCGAAUCAAGCAUCAAUGUUGCAUCUUUAAUUGCAGCUGCAGGAACGACAACGCUAUGCAAGAGGAAGGAAUCAUCACAGUGAGGGAAAGUAUGAAGGAGAACUGAUCCUGGAGGAAGAUGAUACGCAAUCUCUAUGCUUACUGUUCCGAGUGGUUGCAUUGACCUGAAUAGUUCGAUCUAUUUCUCGUGUAUCUACUUGCGCUGCACUUUCACUCGAAGAACCUACAAAAUUAUUCAUAACCCGGCAUAAAAAAGACGUAAAGUUUUCAGCGCGAGCAUGGUAACUUCAAAACCCGUUUCAUACCUAUCAUAUUUCAUUCGUCCCGCACCCUCAUUUAAAAGACUAGAGCUUAUAAAAACUAGAAGUACCUUACCCAGAACAUAAAAGCAGACAAAACCCAGUCGAGUAUAAAUAUAACGUUGAAUAACACCUACCAUUUACCAUUUCAUUCAAGAACACCACACAAUUAACGAAACCAACAUCGGUAUGUUUUCAGCCGUUGUACUUUCAACUUAAUUUUGAAAGCGCGGCAGCUAAAGCCUAAACUGUUGUUUGAUAAAAGUCCACCCACUGACUGCUACCUGGCGGCUACCGAUUCCAUUCAAUAGCAGUCAUAAAAUAAAAAGUACAAAACAAACCUAUGUACAAAAAAGGCAAUGAAGCAGCCAUGGAUUCAGUUAUUUGCAUGUUUGGGAUUGUGGUUGAUUCCAAAUUGAGAAUAUACUGCGAAAUUAUGUUUGAUAAGCAUUUAUCUGAUGAUUGCUACUUUAUUGAGUGCCUGUUUGGUAUGGCUUAUUUAAAAGCCAUAAGUGCUUAUUUAAUCGUAUAAGCACUUUUUUAAAAUUUUUAUGGUGUUUGGUUAUUUUUUUAGUAGAGUUUUUUUAGCUUAAAUAAGCUAAUUUACCUCUACUAGCAAAAGCCCAAAAUUUGAGCUUUUGGGAGUAGAGGUUAAAGAGCUUAUCUAAAAAAUAUAUAAUAAAAAAAAUAUCAUACAGUUUAAUGAUUCAAAAGUGUUUUUUUUAUUGACAACCAAACACCCAAUGACUUUUUGUCCAAAAACUCUAUUGGUAUAAGCUCUACUGCUAUAAGCUCUAUUGUUAUAAGCUCUAUUUAAUAAGCUGUACCAAACGGAGCCUAAAGCAUUCAUUUUUUUUUUUCGCGUUUGGCCUCUUCACUUUUUAAAAAAUUUUAUGGUGUUUGGUUAUUUUUUUAGUAGAGUUUUUUUAGCUUAAAUAAGCUAAUUUACCUCUACUAGCAAAAGCCCAAAAUUUGAGCUUUUGGGAGUAGAGGUUAAAGAGCUUAUCUAAAAAAUAUAUAAUAAAAAAAAUAUCAUACAGUUUAAUGAUUCAAAAGUGUUUUUUUUAUUGACAACCAAACACCCAAUGACUUUUUGUCCAAAAACUCUAUUGGUAUAAGCUCUAUUGUUAUAAGCUCUAUUUAAUAAGCUGUACCAAACGGAGCCUGAGUCUUCAAAGAAAAACUCAAUCAACUAAUGCUCGAUUUUUUUUUUUAAAUGACAAAUCAAAAAGUAUUUUGGAGUAGAUUCUCAAAAGAGUGAUUAUUUGAUAAUCCACCAUAAUCCCACUUAGUUAUCAGAAAUAAAUUAAAAUCCGACGAAUGUUACUUAAGCCAAACAGCAUUAUUUUAUUUUGACCACAAGGACCACAACCCUCAAGCUGUCAAGCAACCGUUACCGUUAACGACCAAUCUUUCACCUCUCCGAAUCUUUGCAAGUCACUAUCAAGCAACCGUUACUAAUAUUUAAUCAAUUAUUAGGAUUAUUGGAUUUCUCAAAUACCUUAUGUACUUUGGUUCACUUUCUACUAAAAUAAAUAUUACAGGAGCUUUCAAAGUCUAGGCUAAGGUUGUUGUAAACAUAGAGAGAUUCAGAGAUAUAACAGCUUGUAAUUACAUACCACAAAGCAUAACUUUGUUCGAAUGAUAAUGAUCAUAAUCCAGAUUAUAGACGUAGAGAGAGGAGAAGUCGUACUUGAGGGGCAAAACGCGGCGUUUUGGCUCGUGGAUGAGGUGCUGCUCCUGAUCGUCGUAGAUUGAAGGGAGGAGAGGUCGGUCGAGGAAGUUUAGGAGACGGUGGAGGCUGAAUUGGUGAAUUUCGAUGAAGACUGACGAAUCCAAUGGGGCUUGAGGGUUUGAUUUGCAAAGAUGAAAGAUAAGAGCAUUGUUUUGGUUUCUGUGCAAAAAAAAAAAAAAAAAACAUGACAAGCGUUGUUUUGGUUUUGGUUCUAAAAAGAUGAAAAUUUGACUGCAAUGGAUCCAUACGCAGUCGGUGUCAAAUAAGAGGAGAAACAAAUAUGUUAAUCACUCGCUCAAUCACUCAUGCGAAGUGCCUUUUUUUUCGUUGCUUUGGCUUCUGAGAAAUAUAUGCAUCAGAUAUUACAACUCUCGAGGAUAAUGCAUUUUGUUCCGGUUUUGACUGAUAUUUAGUGGCAUUUGAUAAACUGAUACCUCAGAACCUGGUAGAGAGUUUAUUAAAUACAAAGAGAACAAAAAUAUAUGACUAUAUAAGCUUUUACACGGUUGAAGAUCCGGUCAAAUUGGCUUUAGUUAGCAAGAUCAUUUAAAACUUUCAAAAAACGAAUGGUAUCAAAAAGCUCUGAGAAAAAGCGGAAAAAAGGCACCACAAAGAUCUUGCAAUUAUUAUCACAGCUUGAUAAGACAUGGAAAUGUAUCUUACAAAUUGGCCUUCCAAGCAUCAAAGAAUUGGGUGGCGACAACUCCCAUUCCUAGCUGCUACCGUGGCCAGUCCCUUCUAACUAAAAUGGGACAGGACCAAAAGCAAGGUCUCUCCCACUCUCCUUAUGUAUAUAAAAUUCCCUACAUUCGAAUAAAACUACAGAAAAAGAUUUGCACAUCAUCUUCUUUCACCUUAUUUUGCAAUCUUCAAGAGUUUGGAAGAUUUCAAAGCACUUGUUAGAAUGUAGCACUCCAUUAAGCAUUCUCACCUUCCCCACACCCCAAUGGACCUCCUUAAUCCUAUCGGCAGACCUACAAAUUCUGCUGCAACUCCAAUCAAAUAAAGCAACACAAUUGUUGCCUGCCUAAGCCUUCCACUCACAGCCUGCAAUGACAAGUUCAUGAUACAAAAUCAGAAACAUUAAUAAACAAAAAGAUAUUACCAUUACUUGCAGAGGGGGAUUUGUUGCAAUUAGUAAAUGCCAUACUUAUCACUUUCAUUGCAGAUAUCAUCAUCAUCAUAAUACUAGCAAUCCAGCACUAAUAGUCAGAAUAAUAAUAAUAGUAGCAUGAAUAAAGAAUUUCUGCAGAGUAAGCUCUAAAGAUGCCGAAAGUGUCAUCUAUUAUGUUAAUAAUAAAAAAGUCUAUCAAGAAUUCAAGGAAAGAAAACUCAUUAACAAAGAACUAAACUUUUUAAUAAUGUUUAAUAAACUACGUACCUAUGAUUUUCUAUUAUUAACAUAAAUGACACUACGUACAACUGAUUUUCGCUUUCUAAUGUUUCAAAUCAUACCGAGAAAUAUAACAAUUACCAAGUCAGUAAGUAGCACAAUUACUUAAUAAGACUUUGACUUGUCUAACCCAAAAUUGUACCCAAUUCUAUACUCUACCAUGAAAAGCUUAUGAAGCCGAACUUACUUUGACCAAACAGUACUAUUAGCUCAGUUAAAGGAAACCACAAUUGAACAAAGUUCAGCUGAAAUAACUGAACUAAAAAAACUUGAUAAAAUUAAAAGUAACUUAUAACAGUUUAGUAAAGAAGCAUACAAAACAUGAAGAUAAAUAAACAUAGGUCUAUUUUCUUGACACUACCAGGUCCUUUCCUUUUUUUUUUUUCAGAUAAGAUCUCGAUACUACCAAGUUUUGGAUUCAAAAUCACCAUAUUACAAUAAUAGUUGUGAUUCAUGGGAUACAAUAUGUAGCAGCUUAUAUGUCGGCAAUUAUAGUCAAAGAUGGUUGUCAAACAUCAUCGCAAAUCAAGAAGCUAAUAAAGACCAUGUCACACUACAUUAACAUAUAUCAGUUCUUUGAUACAAAGAUAUUGAAUGUUAUACAUUUCUAAUCCCAAGUCCUGAAAUACAAAACAAAAGUUCACUUCACACAGUCAUAAAGCUAGACUGCUAGAUAAAUGGACAAUAGGCAUUGGAUAUGGGUCAAUAAACUAUUAAGCUAAUUAAUGCACACGAAGGAAUCCGUUAGAGCUAGUAAAAUAGCCCUUACCAGAGAACUCGCAGAAGCAUUCAAUUUCCUCAAAGGAGAUAACUUACAACAUAAACAUUUUGAUAAGCAGCAACACACAUAAAAUAGCUUCACUCACUAGCAACAGAGCAACUUCUUCAACACAUUAAUAAAUCCAUUUUCAUUUUUAAACAACAAAAUAAUGCCCAGUUUCUCCAGCACAAAUAGGGUAAGCAGUAAUAGAAAAACAUGAUACAUAGGAAUUACCGGCCUCAAGAAAUCUCCAAGCUUUCUGUCCUCUGCUUCAAUUGCUCAAUCAAGAAUGCCCCAGACGUUGCGCUAGCGUGGUGGUGGAGCGUCGCGAAGCGUGUGGCGGCGGUGUCGGCGAAGGCAGGUCAUGAAGAUAGUUGGUGUCGCGCAGCGAAGGCAGUGCAGCUGGUGUCAUGCGGCGAAGGCAAAUCGCGUGGUGGUGGAGUUGGGGUCGCGCGGCAGUGGCGGUGCGGUGCUGAGGCAUAAUAGUGGCGGUGGCGUUGUGCGACAGUGGCAGUGUGGAGGCAGAUUGCGUGGAGCUGGCGGUGUUGAGGCAGAUCGCGUGGAGGCAGAUGCCGCGGUGGUGGAGUUGCUGUCGCGAUCAACGCCUGUGAAAGGGAAUGAAAGUGAAGGAGAUACCUACAAAAGAAAGAACGAGUGAAAUUUUUUUUUUUGUUCAAGGGUUUCAAACCCACAUAAACCCGACUCUCACACGGGUUCAGUAAGUUUAUGCGGGUUUGACUGCAUUACAAAUUGGUAUGACCACAACAACAGUACAAUGAUUGGUAAUUACCAAACAUGCUAUUUAUGUUGGUAUUAAAUUAAUUUAAUACAAUGAGGAGUGGUAAUAUCAUACAAUGAGGACUGUUAAAUAUGGUGUGUUUAAUAUGUUGUAUUGUAUUAUAUUAUUUUAAUACAAAUAUAUUAUAUUAUCUUGUAUUAUAAUAUAAAAUAAUGAAAAAUAUCGAAUUUCAAUAUAUAAAAAAAAAAUAAAUAUAUUUUGUUAUAUUCGAUCUGCUGUACGGCCAAGGCGGAUGUACGGUACAGCAGAUAAGAAUUUAAAUACAUACACUUAUAAUACAACUUAGUUUUUCCACAUUGUCGAGGGAUCAAAACAACCCAUCAUUGGAGUCCAAUAAGUUAUGUGGCGACACAAAAAAGUAAUUCUAUAUUUUUUACGUCAUAAAUAUGUAAAAAAAAUUGUAUUAUAUCUUAUUAUUAUUAGUUUUUUUUCUUCAGUUUUGACAAGUAUAGUUUUCUUGUUGAGUGGCUCAACAAGGCUGGUUACAAUUUCGAAAUAAUGUUCCAUCUGUAUCUGUUUUCCUUUUGUUUUUGAUUUUGUAGUAUAGUUAAUUUGUACGAAUUUGUUGCCUGGUUGGUUUUUAUGCUGAAAAGUCAGUUCAUUGGAAAUGACAGAAAAUUGUUUUUCUUUUUCAUUUUUACAGAAAGAGAUUUGCAACGUUAUAAAAGUAAGAGAUCCUAAGAGAUCCCUGAAUCAUAUUAAAUAUUAAACUUAAGAUACAGUCAAGGCUUUUAUUAUGUUACUAAUCAUGUAACGAAUAUAAUUAUGUAGCAGUCGUUAAAUACAAAUUUAACAGUUAUAAAAAUAACAUGAUUUUAUUAUCUUAUAUUUCUAUAAUCGUUGAAUUUUUAUCUGCUGUACCGUACAUCCGCCUUGGCCGUACAGCAGUAUUGAAUUUUAAAAAUUUAAUAUUAUUUUUUUAAUAUAAAUAUUAAAAAAUAUCAUAAUUCUUCAUAGAAAUCGAAGUUCAUGGCAUUAAAUUUUUAACGCCGCAUACAUAAUAAAAAAUUUGAUUCUCUAGUGCCAAUAUAAUAGAAUACAUAAAAACGAGACUGAGAAACUACGAAUAAAGCUCAUCAUCAAGGACUCCACAACAUUAUAAGAAGUACUAUGUAACAUUUGCCAAAUUACAACACCACAUCAAGACAUAUCACAAUGUAAAAUUUUUCCUAGAGAUUUGGUAAUUGAAAAACACAAUUCAAGUUGAAAACUGAUAGUCGACUUGAAAAGUUUUAACAUAUCCCAUAAAAGAAAUGUGCCAUGCCAAAAAUCCUAACCCUUGGCUCUUUGACGAUAAGAAAAUAUUGAAAAUUCCAAAGUACAGUGCAAUGGGAGAAAGAAUGCCUAUAAAGCUAGUAAAGAUAUUCUUAAACUACUAUUGGGAUGUUGGGCUGGUUGGUAGCAAAACCCAAACCCUGCUGCUGAUUUCCGAUACCACCAUCUUGGAUAAGCCGCUCUCCCUCCUCUUCCUAACUCCUAAGCCCAAUAUCUUUCCAAAACCUUCACAACCCACUCAUAAAUCUCAUUGUUGUCGUGGAUAUGCAAAUUCUCAAUCUUUUCUACUCCAUCACACUCAUCAAUCAUUUGGGUAUAAACAUUAACCCAAUUAUCCAUUCCUAUUUCCUUGUUAACCUCACCCACCUUGAAAAUGUUCUCAAGACCCUAUAGACAAACUGUGACGAUCCUUUGGUCCAGACAAACCAGAAGAUCACAGAGCGGUUUGAUGCAACCUUGGCUCACCAGGAAUCUGCAGGACCAUGGUACCAUAAGUGAUUCUAUCACAUGAACAUCAUUAGAUUAAAAAAAGAAAAAAAAAAGAAACAUCUAUCGUAUGAACAUUGCUGAGUGAAUAAAAGAAACAUACUGAAUAUGUUCAUGAGAUCCUCCAUAUGUGGCAUUUAAGACAGGCCAUGCAGCCUCCUUGAUUUCAAGUUCUGCAUGUUGAAGAAGAGGUGCACAAAAGGAAGGAUAAGGAAGGAUGAUAUUGGCCUCCAUAACAGCCUGUUGAACAAAAAUUCGACAAAUUAUAAUUAUGAGUAUAUUUAAGUAGCAAUUUUGUCAGAAUUAACUAGACUUGACUAUUGAGGAAGUCACAUUCAAAAAUAGAAAAGACGAGCAAGCAAUUGUAUUCAUGCUAUCGGGACCAAAAUACUAUGAUGCAAGCAAGAAAGAAAAACAUACAUACAUAUAAAACACUAUCUUUGAGUUGGGUAUUUUCUUUCAAUUUUGAUAAUGGCAACUUUGGAUUCUUCUGCUGAAUUACCACCACCACCACACCAUUGUAGUUUCACAUACUAAGAAAAGGCAGGUUCAGCUCCCGUGCAUGCCCAUAAGAAUAUGAUGUAUUAAUUAGAAGUAAAAUUAAUCUGUUCAAUUAAGUUCUCUCAUAUAUUUGUGUGCGUGUGUGUGUUAAUUAGUUUGCUUUCAAAUCUUUUCUCCCUUCUUAAUGAUAUAUAUUUUAAGCAUGAUAUCAACCACGAUGAAUUUAUUAGCCGAUUUUUAAUUAUACAUUCAGCAUGAUAUCACAAACCAAGAGCUUAAGUUAGCCUAAUUCUUCAUAAAUCUAAUAAUUGCAAUCAAUAAUAAUGCUGAAAAUACGAGUUUGAAUUAAGCUAGCAACUGGUUCUUAAAUUAUGCAAUAUGUAAUCAUAGGUUUACUUAAAGAUUAAAGCAUUUCUGCAAUCCAUUGUGCAAAAAGAUUAAAAAAAAAAAAAAUAGUUGCCAAAUUUUAUCUAAAUAAAAAUUCCUUUAGUGGUUAGUACUUGUGAAUUAUAGAAAUUAUUAUUAGUACUUGCUCAGCGCUUUUUAGAUUUGUACAGGUAGAUUACGCCAUUUCAAACCCGACCAUCCAUUUAGACAUACAAAUCCCCCCAAUUCCCUGUCCUCCGCCUUUACGCGACUCUCCACUGUAUGUGCCAACUAAUUAAUUUUUUAAUUACUUGUUUAACUAAUUAAUUCAUUUUCUCAAAAGCAAGAUUAAUCUAUUUGUUCAAAUCUGAAGGAGAUUAAGUUAAUUGAUUUUAUUGUAUGUAAAAAUAUACAAAGAACUCAUGAAGCCAACUAGAAAAAAAAAAAAAGACAAAAAAAAAAUCAAACCCAGAAAUAAAAAGACAUGCUUCGACAGAAAAUUAAUGAAAAUUAUACUGAUUGUGGUUCAAUUUGAUCAAACCCAAAUAAUAACCGGUUUGAUUGAUGACUCAGCGGCAAAGUGCAGGCGCAUCAGUGGUUGCACAGAUGAGUGUUCUCGUGCGGCACGACAAAGCAAUUGUCGGCGAUUGUGAUUGGUGAUGACAUCGAGCGAUGGGGGUAAUGGCAUCGGUCGUGACUUUGUGAUGGAGAAACGAAUGUUAGAUUCGUUCGAAGAUUCGUGUUUUGAUUGAAUAACAAAGAGAGAUUUUAUGAGUUUUAAUUAUCUAAUACGAUACCGCAUAAACCCGACUCGUACGUGGGUUUAUUUUAUGCGGGUUUCGGUGUACUAAAGCAGUAAAUUUAUGUGGUGCAAUUCAAACUGAUUUCACCGCCAAAAGAUCGUGUAAAUUUAAUAUUAUACAGGGUUUUAAUACUAUGUAAUCCAAUACACCAAACAUGCCCUUAAAAACGGAUAGCAAUCCGGGGCCUUUAAAAACGGAAAAUACAAGCAGAGAAAAAGAAAAGCCAAUUGUUCAAAAGUGCCUAAUAUGCCCACGGAAAAUUUUCGUCACGACCCACAGUUACUCGAAUAGGUAAUAAGACAGGAAUGCCUUUGUUUGUUCGAAUAUAGAAGCACAAUGGCUCAGAAAGGAUCCCUCCAAUCUCCUUGGCACUGUCAGCUGGGUGCGGAGUAGCUUGGUGGCAGCAACCAUGUUUGAGAGGGCUGGCUUCACCUCAGUGUACUUGCGAGUCUUGAGACCACAGUCAGGGUUAACCCACAAAAUGUUGGUUUCUAGCACAGUACGCAUCUCGUAGAUUCUGUCAACAAUUUCUUCGGUUGAUGGUAUUCUUGGAGAGUGGAUGUCAUAGACGCCAGGGCCAAUUGCAGCAUCAUACUGGACUCCCUCACGGAAGACUGACAGGAGAUUCUCAUUAGAACGAGAGUUCUCAAUGGUGAUCACAUCAGCAUCCAUGUCGAUAAUUGAGUGGAUAAUGUCGUUGAAGUUGGAGUAGCACAUGUGGGUGUGGAUCUGUCAAUCAAUAAACAAUAGAAUGAGAUACAAAAUCAACAGCUAAAUUAAAGAGAUGAGAUUGGAGAUUAAAAGGGUAACUGACCUGGGUAGUGUCCUGGAUGCCACAGUUGGUGAUUCUGAAGGAGUGGACUGCCCAGUCCAAGUAGAAAGCAUGCUCAGAUUUCCUGAGAGGCAAUCCUUCCCUCAAGGCAGCCUCAUCAAUUUGAAUAACGUUAAUGCCUGCCUUCUCAAGAUCCUCGACUUCGUCCUUGAUGGCCAAAGCAAUCUGGUAGCAGGUUUCAUGUCUGCAAAAUUGGCAGCGAUUGAUGUUAAACAAUGUUUCCAUUCCAAAAGGUUAACCAAUAGUGAACCAGUUCUCAUUUAUAUACCUGGGCUGGUCAUUUCUGACAAAGGACCAGUUGAGAAUGGUGACAGGGCCAGUAAGCAUUCCCUUCAUUGGGCGAGCAGUCAUGCUCUGAGCCCAGGAGGACCAGAAGACGGUCAUAGCCUUGGGACGGCUCACAUCACCAUAGAUGAUGGGUGGCUUCACACAGCGAGAUCCAUAGGAUUGCACCCACCCAUUGGCAGUGAAGGCGAAACCUGAUAACUGCUCUCCAAAGUACUCAACCAUGUCGUUUCUCUACAAAAACAAAUGUCCGAAUUCAAUUUGAGAUCCAGCAUACUUCGUAUGCAAUUAGAAAUGCAGAAACAAAAAUGUAUAAAAUUUUAUGUAAUUCAAAACCAGGAGACAUUGCUUUGCUUCCAUUGGGCAUUGCGAGACUCACCUCAGGCUCUCCAUGGACAAGGACAUCAAUAUCAAGCUCUUCUUGGAGUUUGACAACCUUGUUGAUUUCCUCCUUGAUGGAAGCAACAUAUUCUUCCUCAGAAAUCCUAAAAAGGACAAAUAGUCACGGCACAGUUAAUACAGUAGUUGCAGUAAUUUCACACAUGGCAUUGAAUGAAGAAACACCUCAGAUUGACUCACUUCUUAGCCUUGUAUUCACGGCGGACUCUCCUAAGUUCAAUGGUUUGUGGGAAGGAUCCAAUUGUGGUGGUUGGGAGGAUUGGAAGAUUGAGCUUCUUCUGUUGAGCAUCUAAUCUAGCACUAACGUUUGUAGCACGUCUGUGGUCUGAUCCCCUCAAAGCAGCAGCCUAAUAGACCAAGAGGAAGGAAUCACUGUUAGCAAAAAAGGAAAUUCUAAGGGACAGCCACAUCAUAAAAAUGGAAAACAAAUCAAUCAUGCCACUUACAGCCUUUUGAACUGCCUCAUUGGUCACUCUCGGGGAGGACUUUCUUGAAGCCUGAGCUGCAGCAUUGGCAGAGAAGAAUCCCUGGAAACAAAUGAUAAGGAGAACCAAAGUUAGUCUCAUUCAUAUCAUUUUAAAAAGAAGAUACAUAUGCAAUUAGUGGGCUGAUUGUGAGAGAAAAAGUCCCCAAAACUUUAAUCAAACACCAAAUGCCCAAGUUGCCAAAUGAUGUUUAAUUCGGAAAAAUAUAUUUAAAAACAUUCAAAUAUAAUUUCCCCUUCUAAAUUUUCAUUUUCAACAACAUAUUUUACAAGCCAAGCUCAACGUCAGGCCAAGAUUUUGUGCUCCUAUAAUUAUAUUUUACCAUAAAACUAGGUCCUUGAAAGGCUAAGAUUUUCUGACUCUUGUGACUAGUCAAAGCCUAAGAUUCUUUCAAUUCAUCCGUAGUAAAAGUAUACCUCAUCCUUUUGGCCAGCCAAAGCCUUGGCCAAUGCAUUGACUUCAACAACUUUCUGGGCAGCAAAUGCCAGCCAUGACUUGAUUUCGUCGUCGAGUUUGUUCUCAUUAACAAGAUCAACAGCAGUGUGAAGAAGUGAGCAGGAGGUGGAGACCACAAGCUUGUCUGCAAAGAAAAGUAAUAAAUUAUACAACAAAUCCCAUAAUAGAAUAAGAAAUAUUUAUCACAAAGAAAAAUGCAAGCAAAGGAUGUAUACCUUUGCCAACAACACCCUCAAGCCCCCGGAGAACACUAAGAGAAGCAGCAAGAUCAUUGGCCCAAAUGUUCCUUCCAUCAACCACUCCAGCAAAGAGGUACUUGCCAGCAGGGAAUCCACUCUUGAUCAAUUCAAGGGUCUUGGUUCCACGAACCAAAUCAAAUCCAUAAGCGGUGACACCCUUCAAAGAAGUGAGGGUCUGGAAUGCCUCAGCUGGAACAUCAGCAAAGUAGGUCUCAACAAGAACAUUCAAGCCAGACAGAGUUGACUCUAGUUCCGCGUAAGCCUCACUGAAUGCUUGCAAUUUGUGUGAGUCAAGAUCCGUAACAAGCAAUGGCUCAUCAAACUGAAUCCAGGAAGCACCAGCAGCCUUAAGCUCAGAAACAACUUCCCUGCAGAAGUGUUAAUUGGUACGACACGGAUUAAUGAUGCCACACGAUACACACACACACACACACACACACACACACACACACACACACACACACACACACACACACACACACACACACACACACACACACACACACACACACACACACACACACACACACACACAGACAGAGUUAUUUAGCACAUACACGUUUAUAAAUCUGUAAAUAGGUGAUAAUUCUUACUUGUAGAUCGGAAGGAUUUUGGGAAGAAGAGAGAGAACAGAAAAGGUCUUCUCAACCCCCCAGGCAGGCUUAGACAGCAACAAGUAUGACACAGGGCCAAUAAGCACUGGGACAGUUUCAACUCCAUGCUGCAGCAUUAGACAAGUGGUAGAUAUUAGCAUCUCACAAACUUGAUCUGACUGAUAGAAAGUUACAAGCAAGUUAAGAAUAUGUUUGAUGAAAUUUCAAUGAAAAAUCUUCAGGGUCCACAACAUGUUGACUAUACCCUUUUUAAGUAAUUUAUCUUAAGACUAUUUUGCAAACAGUAUUGCUUCCCUUUACAGAUCAAAUAAAUCAUACAACAUCUGAACGCAUUUCCUGAGCCAAAUAUAAGUUCAAAGCUCUAUAAUAAAUGUCAAUGACUCUAUAGUAAAUUCCAUCACAUUCUGAGCUAUGGAUGAGCAUAUCAUAUGCCAAUUUCAAGUUGAACGUAACCCAAUUUCAACAUAUUGUAGAUUCAAGUAUCAAACGAAAAAAAAAAUAUUGUAAAUAUAGACAGAACUGAGAACAAACACUCACCCCCUUAGCCUCCUUGUACUCAGUCACAGCCUUGUGGGAAGCGUAGGAGAACUUAACAUCGGGUCCCAAUUCAGGAACAAUGAAAUGACUGCAUCAACACGAAGCCAAACACACGUCAGCAUUCAGUACAAAACCAUUACACCAUAACUAACUUGAAAUGCCGCUCUUCCAAGUAGUGAAUACUUACUAGUUGGUGUCGAACCACUUGGUCAUUUCCAUUGCGAGAACAGAGGCGUUUCCUCUGGCCAUGGAGAAGUAAACAUCGAAUCCAAUCUCGCCGCCGUUCCAGUUAAACCUCGGGGGCACGGCACCGAGCAUUGCGGUGGUGUCGAGCACUUGGUCGUAGUAGGAGAAAGUGUUGCUGGGAAUGUAUUUGAUCCCGGCCUCGGACAUCUGUUUCCAGAUGGAGGAUCUGAGAUCAGCGGACACCUUUUGCAAAUCCUCGGCGCUGCUCUUGCCAUCCCAGAAGGAUUCCAACGCGAACUUGAGCUCCCUCUUGGGGCCCAUGCGUGGGUAACCAACGAUGUGAGAUGCCAUUUUACUGUCAUAAUCACGUCAUCAAUGAAUCGAAAAUCAGUCCCUUCCAUUAAAUCAAGAAAUUAUUAAUUCAAAUGAAUGGAUCACAUUGUAUAUAUAUGGGAUAAAUAUAAUUAUGAACAAAAGCGUCUAAUCAAUCACAAAAAGCAAGCGACUGCAUCAAAUUUAGGGAUCCGACCCGACCCGACCCGAUCUGUAAAUUCCGGUUUCAAUCGGAUUAAGAUGAAACCUCUAACCCGAUAUAGUUGGAUUUUGGCCAACUCGAUCGGAUCAGAUCGGAUCGGAUUAAACUUAGUCCAAUCCGAAAAAUUCAAAAAAUCAAAACUACAAUAAGUAUAAAUCUAAAUUUUCAAUUCAAUUUGAUCUAAUCUGAAUAUAUUCGAAUCGGAUCAAAUACUAUGCUCUGCUUAAACUUGGAUUAUAUUUUUUUCAAUUUGAUUAACCUAAAAUUCGAUUGGAUAGAUCCAAAACUGAAUUUAUCUACCCCUCAGUCAUCAAUCAAUUACAAAACCUAAAAUCCGAUUGGAUAGAUCCGAAACUGAAUUUAUCCACCCUUAAGUCAUCAAUCAAUUACAAAGGCGACUGAUGUUUAUACAAUGGACAAUUAUUAAGUUACAGCUCUUGUAAUUUACAACUUAUACAAAAAUAUGUGAAAAAUUGUGAUAGGCAGUACAGUGUCAUGAUUUUAUACAAAAAUAUGUAAACAAUUGUGAUAGACGGUAGAACCUCAUGAUUUUAUAAAAAAUACGUAAAAAGUUGGGAUAAGUAAUGGAGCCCGCAUAAUUUUUUAUCAGCUGCAAGUUGCAAGUUACAGCAACUGUAACUUAGCGACCCCGACUUCAAUGUAAAAUGAGAAAGUACUCCUCCGCAUAGUACCUGAUGCUCAAAAGUCAAAUCACACGAAAUGCAAAUAGACUUAUCAGAGCAUAAAACCUUAUAUUACUUUUUGAAAAACGAUUUGAAACAAGGGCAAAAUUACAGUGUAACCGUACUUAGUCAUUGAAUUCAGCUCACAAUUAUCAUUAUAGUUAGAUCUAAUAACUAGAUCCAACUGUAUCCACAGUUAUAUUGUAGUUAGAUCUGAUAACUAAAUCCAGAUCCAGCUGUCCCCACAAUUGUCAUUAUAGUUAGAUCUAAUAAUUAGAUUCGGCUGAUUCAGCUGUGAUGUAGUACCCUGUAGUGCCAUAACUGGACAAAGAAACAAACUGAUAUAUUUUCUUUUUUGAAACAAACUGAUACUAAUCCAAGAGUUUCAGAUGAUCGGUUUUUUUUUUUUUUUCUAUAGUCACAUCAAUAAUUAAGUACUUUCAGUCAUUUUCGAAGGAUUAAAACGAAAACUCUAAAAAAAUUCUGAGAAUGAAGAAUCCGAAAAUAGAUUCAGAAAUAGUAACACAAGUAGAGGUCAGAUUGUUUUUUGGAAAAGAUUAAUUGCAGAUCUGAUGAACUCAAGUCUAGAUCUAGCAAAAUCACGGCAGCCAAACACUAGAUCUAAGACUAACAGUCACUCACCAGUCGAUCAGAAAGUGAAAUCAAGUUCAAAAUUCUUUUUUUUUAAUAGAUCCAAAAGCUAAUAUACAUAUAUAUAUGGCAAAAUAUAUAUACCGUACCCGAGAAGGACGAGCAGAGAAAUUAAGCUUUUUUCGAGAGAACGAGAAAGAAGAGAGACGAGACUGUUAGAAAUUGCUGUCAGUUUAAUUUUUAUUUAUAGCCAAAAACCUAACCUUGUUUAGUGGUUACUGGUUACCGUCUUCGGCGGUGUUGAUCUGAGAUUUAUCAUUUUAAUUUCUUUCUCUUACUUAUUUAUUUAAUUUGGGUCCAACUACGGUGAAACUGUAGUACCGUGCUACAGUUAUUUUCAACCGUUUGAUUCACUUGGAUGGUGGGAUCCAAUAAAAUCCAAUAACUGGGUGCAACCGUAGCACGGUGCCGCAGUUGCACCACAGUUUUUCCCAUUUAUUUAUUAUGCUUUCAGUGCAGUUGGCAAAAACAUGGAGCUUACGCGCGCUUUUCUGAUGUGGCGCGUGAAUUGGAAAUGUGGUAGAUCUUUGUGGAUCCGCCGGUGCAGUGAAGAGUGAAGGAAAAAAGAGAAAAGUUAUCAUGCCAGAUCAUUUGAAGAGAGCCGCAAUUAGUAAUUACACCACAAUAUAUUUCUGAUUAUUUGCUUACUUUGAUGAUGUUUUUACUGAUUAGUAAUUGGAAUAUGUUAGAAUCUAAAUAUAGUAGAAUCAUAAUAGAGUUGAAUCAAAAUAGACUAUAAUUAGAAUGGAUAAUGGGAAUUAGAAGAAUUAUUUGCUUUAGUUGUGAGAAUCCAAAUUGGAAUGAACUAUAUUGUCGUUGAUAUGUUUACUUUAUCAUAGAAUAUGAAUGAAUUAUUACAAGUUACUAAACAGACCUUAAGUUGAUUAUUGUCAUUAUUUAUUUAUUUAUUAUUAUUAUUAUUAUUAUCAUCAUCAUCAUCAUCAAAAUUAUUAAUCUUAUUAUUAAUGUUAAUUAUAAUAAUUAAUAAUUAUAAUAGUAUUAUAAUAAUAAUAAUAAUAAAAGCAAUCAUAAAAUGAGAAUUUCAAGAUUUAAGUAGAGAUAAUAUAAUUAUUUUAGAAAAUGAGAAUUUCCAUGAGAAUGUGAACUCUAUUAAUCAUUCCCAAUUUGAAGUGGGGCCUGCCAUUUUGAUUCAAUCUCUCAUUUAAGCAAGUAAAUACGACAUUUAUUCUCAUUCCCUCAUUCCCACUCUCAGGUAGCGUUUGUUUUUUAACUUAAUGACUUAAAGUGACUUAACUUAAUUAAUUAAGUUAAUUAGAGGUGUUUAUUUUUAUAACUUAAUGAGACUUUUUAGAUAAUUUUGACUUAAUAAAAUGAGCCAAUUUUUUUUGGCUUUUUACUUAAUGGAGAAAUUUGAAUUUAGUCAAUUACUUACUAAUGUCAAAAAUAUCUAUGUUUUAUAAUUUAUUUUUCAUGUCUAUCCCAAAACUCACCCAUAGACAUUUACCCCACAUAAAAAUAUCCCUAUUUUUUCUUUCUUAUAUUAUAUACGAUAAAAUUUGAAAUUUAUGGUAUUUUAUAUAUUAAAAUUCUAAAAUAAUUAUGUAUUCACUUGAAUAUAGUUUUACUUAUAACUGUUAAAAUAUUGUGGUAUUUAAUAUAUUAUUUAUUUGACAUUAAAAUUUAAUAAGGAUACAAAUGUAAAAGUACAUAUUUUCAGUUUUUUCAGUUAAAAAAAAAGCAACUUAAUACUUAUUUUUCGAGAUUCAGACGAAAAAAUAAACAUAUUAUUCAUAUUCAGACAUUUAGAUAUAUUCAGAAUUCAAACUAAUUCAGGUCUAUUCAGAUUUUAGACAAAAAAAACAAACGCCACCUCAAUCAAUAAACACACCAUAAAUGUAGAGUUGUUACUAUUAGAAUACAUUAUAAUUCAUCACAAUUAUGAUAGGUAUAUACGUGUGUAAUAAUUUAUAUAAGAUGCUAAAUUUUGAAAAUAAUAAAAAAUCAUUUAUACAUAUUUAAAAAAAUCAUUAAUACAUUAAAAUGUGCAUCACAUAUACAUUUACAUAAUAGCAAUGACCAUAGUAUAAAAAAAACUCCUAAAAGAGAACGACUUCGUUAUUUAUGUUAUUUUAUAUAUUUUUAAUUGAUUAUUAAAAGGAUCAAUUGUUAAUUAUUAUUCUCCAAACAUAAUCACCGUUAAACAUUUAUUCAAUUUAACAAUAGGUAGAUGUUAAAUAAUAUUGGAAUAUUUAAUGAACAAUAUAAUCACUAUUGCAGUUGUUUUUUUUUUUUAGUAAUGGAUUAUUCGAAACUCAAAUUCAUUUUUUAGCCCCCUUACCUCUCUUAAAAUUCAAAUUUAAGUGACUAAACAAAUAAAACUGCUUAAAAUCUAUACGACUACAUCUUUGGGGACCAAUUAAUAUGGAUGUUUAAAUCUUGAUUUAUUAUUAAAUCUUUGAGUUUCAACCACUAAUAACAUCAUCAUCGAUUAAUGACAAAUAAAAUAAUACAUCAUCAAAACCAUUAAACACGUCCAUCAAUAUCAAAAACAAGUAAAAAGUUUAGCAUGUAUUUCAAAUAUACUUUUCAUCCCAAAAGUUGUAGAGAAAGUCUCGAUAUCAAUGUCACUAUGAGACGUAAUUUUAUAUUUAAAGUCAGCGCAACUUAAAAAUUACUAUGAAUGAAUAAUACACCAUAAAAAAAUUAUUUAUAAGUAUUUUCAUCAUGUAUUUUUAUUUAACAAUGGUGACAUUUAUUUUUUAACUUAAUGACUUAAAGUGGCUUAACUUAAUUAAUUAAGUUAAUUUUAGGUGUUUGUUUUUAUAACUUAAUAGGACAUUUUAGAUAAUUUUGACUUAAUAAAAUAGGCCAAUUUUUUUUAACUUUUUACUUAAUAGAGAAAUUUGAAUUAAGUCAGUUACUUUCUAAUGUAAAAAAAUAUUCCUACUUUAUAAUUUAUUUUUCAUGCAUAUUCAAAAACUCACCCAUAGAUAUUUACCCCACAUAAUCUCAUCUUUAUUUUCUUCCAGCCGUCAUGGAAUCCCUCCUCACUUUGCUUCUCUCCUCUAGUUCUUGAAUCUCCCUUUAAUUUCUCGCUAGGCAAAGCACUUGAAUUGGGCUUUUUUUUUUUCCUUUUCAAUUACGUUUUCCAACAUUCACUUAUAUAAUAAUCAACUAGUUGCUACUCUUUUUAGUGAUAAAAUUUGAAAUAUGGUAUUUUAUAUAUUAAAUUUUCAAAAUUAUGUAUUCACUUAAAUGUAGUUUUACUUAUAAAUAUUAAAAUAUUAUGUUAUUUAAUAUAUUAUUUAUUUGACAUUCAAAUUUAAUAAGGAUAUAAAUGUAAAAGUACAUAUUUUUAAUUUUUUAAGUUGAAAAAAUAACUUAAUAUUUAUUUUCAGAUAUUCAAAUAAAAAAUAUAUUAUUUAAAUUCAAAAAUUUAAAUCUAUUCAAAAUUUAAAGUAAUUCAGGUCUAUGCAUAUUUCAAUCAUAAAAACAAAUGCCACAUGAGUCAUUCAAUUUCUAAUUAAGAGGAUAAAAAAUAGAUUUGGACUAUCCUAAGACAAAAACAAAAAAAAAAACAAAAAUAAGAUUUCCUAAUAAGUGUACUAACGUGGUCACGCGCCUUGAGAAACGCUUGGACCUAACACACUAUUUUAAUCCGAUAUGCAAAAAAAGAAAAAAAAAAAAAAGGAAAAAUUAUGAGAUGUAUAAGUUUCUAGAGACGUGUUAAAUUUUGAUGAAACAAUGAAGAAAGUCGGUGGCCGAAGUUGGUAUGGGGCAAUGCGAAUGGUGGUUGGCCCACGUUGCCCUGUAAUUGGAGUUGUUAUAAUUUUUCUUAUAAUUAAUAGGACUUGACACAGACUGCAGCAUCAGCCGUUGGAUGUGGAGGGAGAAACUAAACAAUAGAAAACCGUAUGGUGGGAUGACGGUAGAUGUUUGUUACAGAAACUGUACCAUAGACAGGUCCUAAUUAAUAAGCUCUACGUUUUGAAACAAUAAAUAAACUCCAGAUGACCAAAAUAUCAUUUCAUACUGCUACCUAGACAUCUUGGCGAGGGUGGGUAAUGUGGGGCCCGGAGCUUGUUUGAUCGUCAAUUAUUCUCUGGUUUGGUGAAACGAAUGGACGGACGAUGGUGAUGGCUUUUAGGAGAUUAGUAUUAUUAUUAUUAUUAUUAUUAUUACAUUGAGAUCGUAAAACAAAAAAUUCAAUUAAUAAUAUAAAAUAUUUAUUUAAUUUAUUAAUUAUUAUAUAUACACAAUAAAAAAAUUUAUAUACAUAUUUAUAAAUGUGUAAAUAAAUUUCAUUCAAUAUUAUAUCCAAUUAAUCAUUUAUAUUUUUCUGCUGUACCGUACAUCCGCCUUGGCCGUACAGCAGUAAAGCUGCUGAUGCUUUAUCGCGAAUUCAUGAGGAAAAUGUGAUUGAAGAACCCAAACCAACAACUCUUUGUUUGUCGUUAGACAUUUACCCCACAUAAAAAUAUCCCUAUUUUUUCUUUCUUAUAUUAUAUACGAUAAAAUUUGAAAUUUAUGGUAUUUUAUAUAUUAAAAUUCUAAAAUAAUUAUGUAUUCACUUGAAUAUAGUUUUACUUAUAACUGUUAAAAUAUUGUGGUAUUUAAUAUAUUAUUUAUUUGACAUUAAAAUUUAAUAAGGAUACAAAUGUAAAAGUACAUAUUUUCAGUUUUUUCAGUUAAAAAAAAAGCAACUUAAUACUUAUUUUUCGAGAUUCAGACGAAAAAAUAAACAUAUUAUUCAUAUUCAGACAUUUAGAUAUAUUCAGAAUUCAAACUAAUUCAGGUCUAUUCAGAUUUUAGACAAAAAAAACAAACGCCACCUCAAUCAAUAAACACACCAUAAAUGUAGAGUUGUUACUAUUAGAAUACAUUAUAAUUCAUCACAAUUAUGAUAGGUAUAUACGUGUGUAAUAAUUUAUAUAAGAUGCUAAAUUUUGAAAAUAAUAAAAAAUCAUUUAUACAUAUUUAAAAAAAUCAUUAAUACAUUAAAAUGUGCAUCACAUAUACAUUUACAUAAUAGCAAUGACCAUAGUAUAAAAAAAACUCCUAAAAGAGAACGACUUCGUUAUUUAUGUUAUUUUAUAUAUUUUUAAUUGAUUAUUAAAAGGAUCAAUUGUUAAUUAUUAUUCUCCAAACAUAAUCACCGUUAAACAUUUAUUCAAUUUAACAAUAGGUAGAUGUUAAAUAAUAUUGGAAUAUUUAAUGAACAAUAUAAUCACUAUUGCAGUUGUUUUUUUUUUUUAGUAAUGGAUUAUUCGAAACUCAAAUUCAUUUUUUAGCCCCCUUACCUCUCUUAAAAUUCAAAUUUAAGUGACUAAACAAAUAAAACUGCUUAAAAUCUAUACGACUACAUCUUUGGGGACCAAUUAAUAUGGAUGUUUAAAUCUUGAUUUAUUAUUAAAUCUUUGAGUUUCAACCACUAAUAACAUCAUCAUCGAUUAAUGACAAAUAAAAUAAUACAUCAUCAAAACCAUUAAACACGUCCAUCAAUAUCAAAAACAAGUAAAAAGUUUAGCAUGUAUUUCAAAUAUACUUUUCAUCCCAAAAGUUGUAGAGAAAGUCUCGAUAUCAAUGUCACUAUGAGACGUAAUUUUAUAUUUAAAGUCAGCGCAACUUAAAAAUUACUAUGAAUGAAUAAUACACCAUAAAAAAAUUAUUUAUAAGUAUUUUCAUCAUGUAUUUUUAUUUAACAAUGGUGACAUUUAUUUUUUAACUUAAUGACUUAAAGUGGCUUAACUUAAUUAAUUAAGUUAAUUUUAGGUGUUUGUUUUUAUAACUUAAUAGGACAUUUUAGAUAAUUUUGACUUAAUAAAAUAGGCCAAUUUUUUUUAACUUUUUACUUAAUAGAGAAAUUUGAAUUAAGUCAGUUACUUUCUAAUGUAAAAAAAUAUUCCUACUUUAUAAUUUAUUUUUCAUGCAUAUUCAAAAACUCACCCAUAGAUAUUUACCCCACAUAAUCUCAUCUUUAUUUUCUUCCAGCCGUCAUGGAAUCCCUCCUCACUUUGCUUCUCUCCUCUAGUUCUUGAAUCUCCCUUUAAUUUCUCGCUAGGCAAAGCACUUGAAUUGGGCUUUUUUUUUUUUCCUUUUCAAUUACGUUUUCCAACAUUCACUUAUAUAAUAAUCAACUAGUUGCUACUCUUUUUAGUGAUAAAAUUUGAAAUAUGGUAUUUUAUAUAUUAAAUUUUCAAAAUUAUGUAUUCACUUAAAUGUAGUUUUACUUAUAAAUAUUAAAAUAUUAUGUUAUUUAAUAUAUUAUUUAUUUGACAUUCAAAUUUAAUAAGGAUAUAAAUGUAAAAGUACAUAUUUUUAAUUUUUUAAGUUGAAAAAAUAACUUAAUAUUUAUUUUCAGAUAUUCAAAUAAAAAAUAUAUUAUUUAAAUUCAAAAAUUUAAAUCUAUUCAAAAUUUAAAGUAAUUCAGGUCUAUGCAUAUUUCAAUCAUAAAAACAAAUGCCACAUGAGUCAUUCAAUUUCUAAUUAAGAGGAUAAAAAAUAGAUUUGGACUAUCCUAAGACAAAAACAAAAAAAAAAACAAAAAUAAGAUUUCCUAAUAAGUGUACUAACGUGGUCACGCGCCUUGAGAAACGCUUGGACCUAACACACUAUUUUAAUCCGAUAUGCAAAAAAAGAAAAAAAAAAAAAAGGAAAAAUUAUGAGAUGUAUAAGUUUCUAGAGACGUGUUAAAUUUUGAUGAAACAAUGAAGAAAGUCGGUGGCCGAAGUUGGUAUGGGGCAAUGCGAAUGGUGGUUGGCCCACGUUGCCCUGUAAUUGGAGUUGUUAUAAUUUUUCUUAUAAUUAAUAGGACUUGACACAGACUGCAGCAUCAGCCGUUGGAUGUGGAGGGAGAAACUAAACAAUAGAAAACCGUAUGGUGGGAUGACGGUAGAUGUUUGUUACAGAAACUGUACCAUAGACAGGUCCUAAUUAAUAAGCUCUACGUUUUGAAACAAUAAAUAAACUCCAGAUGACCAAAAUAUCAUUUCAUACUGCUACCUAGACAUCUUGGCGAGGGUGGGUAAUGUGGGGCCCGGAGCUUGUUUGAUCGUCAAUUAUUCUCUGGUUUGGUGAAACGAAUGGACGGACGAUGGUGAUGGCUUUUAGGAGAUUAGUAUUAUUAUUAUUAUUAUUAUUAUUACAUUGAGAUCGUAAAACAAAAAAUUCAAUUAAUAAUAUAAAAUAUUUAUUUAAUUUAUUAAUUAUUAUAUAUACACAAUAAAAAAAUUUAUAUACAUAUUUAUAAAUGUGUAAAUAAAUUUCAUUCAAUAUUAUAUCCAAUUAAUCAUUUAUAUUUUUACAGCGGUUUAAUAAUAAUAUUUACUAAAUACAUAUGAUUAUUUUUAAAAUUCACAGUAUUUUUAAAAAUAAAUUUUAUAAAAUUUUUAACUAAUUUUCUUUACAACUAACUAUUGAACGGUUUAACUAAUAGUAAUUAUUUUUAAAAUUAUAGUAUUAUCAAAUUAGUCCUAUGUCAAAUUUGUUAUUGCUGUUUUUUUUUUAAUUAAAAAAUUACAUAGUGCAUACGUGCAUAAUAUGCCCAACUCAAAAAUUCACACAAAAUAUACUAUUUAACUUUAAGGCUUUAAUUGAAAAAAAAAAUUAAGAUUAAGAUGAAUAAAUACUAGAACAUAACAAAUAGAUAAACUCUCCCAUUCUUUAAAAAGAUUAAUUUUAUUUUAAACUUACACUUCGAAUUCAAAGUAGACAUUGAUUGAUAAAAUUAUACAAACGGAUCAAUAUUCCUACAUUUUCUUUUUAAUUUCAAAACCAACAGAUAUUGUUUGUUCAUUAUAUGACCUCCAAACAAAUAAUUUCAUUAAUAAAAUAAUAAUGAAAAGUGUCGUGAUGGGUAUAGAGUAAUUAGGUGGCUAAGUUUCUACUUUUCAUUCUAACUCUUGAGGUUGGUAGGCGCGUGGGUGGUCCACAAAACCCGUGGACGGUAGCAUUCAAACAAAGACUGGAGGCACCAGAAAAAUGUCCAAAAAGUGUGAAACCGUGACGUGUUCAACAUGUUAAUAAAUUUAGGCAAAUGUUAAAGUUACGGAGCUGGCUACGUUACAGAAACUGUACGUAACAGCCAUGCAUUUUUUAUUCGUUGGAUCUAGAGACUGAAAUUGGAUGGUUGGGAUUAAAGGCCAGAAUAGAAAUUAAUCACGGGCAACCGUUUUUAACAUUUAGAAGGGUUUAUUUUCAUGCACACCCAAAUAUUUUGACAAAUAUCAAUAUGCACCCAGUAACUUUUUAUGUAAAACCACAUAACCGACCCGUUAACUUUUCUACUAUUGAAUUAAAAAACUAUCAUGCCUCAAUUGAAUUAAAUUGAUCAGGUAAAAUAUCUUUUAUAACUUGUCAAUUUUUACAGUGAAAUAUACGAGUAUUUAGUAAAAUCAAAUUUAUUUUUUAUUCAGUAAUCAAAUUUUUUUAUUUAGUGAAAUCAAAAUUAUUUUUCUUUAGUUGUAAGAUUUUUUUAACAAAAAAAUUCUAAAAUCAGAUUUAACUCAUUUACUAUUUUAAAAAAUGAACUUUUUACUAACCAAACUAGAGUUUAUCUUUAGUCAACAUAUUUUUUUCUCUAAAAUAACCUUUGAUAGAAUUACUUAUAUAAACAUGUCAGUAUCAAAAUUACUUCAUAUUUUACCAUCCAUCAAUUUAAACUAGUGUGAAAUUUUUUUAGUUUGAUAUUGAAAAUAUGAUAGUUGAUGAGAGAAAUCUAAUUCAAAUUUACAGAUAGAAUAGUUUCUUAUAAUUGCGUACAUGGUAUAUCAAAAAUAUUUUUUUGUGAGUUUUUAAAAAAAUUGUGUCACAAGAUGAAAUUAUCUCUUGAUUUUUCAAUUCCUGGAAUUUAUGUAAAACAAUAAACACAAGUAAAUCUUUUGGUUUGUGACUUCUUGAAGGAAUGUUUGGGAACGCACAAGUUCCUCUCUCCUUCAAAAAGAAUGAUAAGUGCAAAUACCAACCUAGAAAAUUGAUUUAUAAUUCAAAGAAGAUUUGAUUGAAGAUGAUUAAUUGAAAUUUAUCUUUGCAUGAUGUCAAACAUUUUUCAAAAUGACUAAGUCAAGUCUCUUUGUUAAUUCAAAUCAAGAAAAAUUAGAAAAAUAUUAAUGCAUAGAAAUUCUACUAAGAGUUAUUUAUGAAAUUCUCAAACGAAUAGAAAUUAAAUUAACAUUUUUAAAUUUUAGUUAUGGGUUUAUUUUAAAAAUGGGUUUAGAAAGAAAUUUGAGGGGUUUAAAGAACCCCGCCCUUUCUUUAAUUAUUCGGUGAAUUUGAAAUAUAUUAAUAAGGUAUAAGAAUAUGUUAUUCUAAUCUUCUUAUGCAAAAUCUAUGCAAUUAAAAAAAAAUUCACCAAACGGUAUUUGUCUUUUUAUUGACAUUUAAUAAUAUUGAUGGCAAAUAUAUACAAUUAUCAAUCAAUUGUUAUCAACUAUUCAAGAUAACUGAAAAACUAAUUGCGUGAAGUUGGAGUAAUGAUUGUUUGAAUUGCCAAGAGUUUUUUUUUAAUAGAAACUAUUGCAAUUCAUAUCAUUAAAAAACUUAAAGACUACAAGUCGAAUAAAAAAUCUUUCCUUAUAAAAGAAUUUGACCAACUCAAAGUACAGUGUUAAAUCCUUGAGAUACAAUGAACCUAAAAAUCCUACUUUGACACACCACAAAUAAUGAAUCUAACUUAACAAUCAAUGGAGAUAAAUCAAUUUUACUAGCAAAAUAUAAGCCAAAACACAAGGCAACGUCUUCACCAAAAUCAAUAUCAUUCAAAUAAUUCCCCUUGUGAACGCCUGAAGCUAUCAUAAAAACAACAAAAAAUAAAAAAAUAAAAACAAGUAGACAAGCAAAAAAAUUCCCCAAUAACAAGUUACCCUACAAAACUUUUCCUUGUAGAACAUACACAGAAACCGCAGCUAUAGGGCUAUCGAAAGUAGGGAUGGCAAUGGGGAGGGGAGGGGAGGGGACCAAUCUCCCCAUACCCAUCCCCGAUAUUUUGCGUAUGUCCCCGUCCCCGUCAGAAUUGCUUGAGAGAAUCUCCAUCCCCUCCCCGAAUAAUAACAGGGGAUCCCCGAGGGUCCCCGGUCUUUGGAAAAGCUAGGAAAGAAAAGGGACGUGAAAAACAAAGGGGGUAGAUUUUUUGAAGGGGAAAGAAAAAGAAACCCUAGAUCUAAAUUUUUCUCUUCUCUCUAUGAAGAACUAAACCUAUUAUUCUGGUUGAAGAUUAAUAAAGCUUUGGUUCAUCAUUACUGUGAGAUCUUUCUUAUGCUUUAAUUGUUUUAUUGCUUUUUGGGUAUUUGUUUAUUCUCUAAAUUAUUGUCAUGAUUAUAUUUGUUAAUUAGAUAAUUGGCCACUAUUUAAUUAUCAACUUAAUCUAUUGUCAAUUAAAAGAUUCAUCGUAUGAAGAUUUUAAUAUUUGUGACAAAUAGCAUAGCAGUGCGUUGUGUUAUGAGAAUAAACAAUCUAAUUUAAAUGAACCAUCGUAUGCGUUUGUUGAUUAGGAUUUGGGUCUCUCUGAUUUUUCAGGUUGUCAAUUAAUUAAAUCCUAUGAUUGUAUCUAGGGUUAUCUAUUAAUUAGGGAAAUAACCAAUGGUCGUACCUUAGUUAUCGACUAGUUAAAGAGAGAUUGGCUAUUAAAGGGUCUCAGUAGCUAGGGAUGGCAAAAAUCCCCACGGGGACGGGCACCCUCGGGGAUUUUCCCCAUUCGGGGAGGGUACGGGGAUAAUUUUAUACCCAAUUUUUUUUUCGGGGAGGGGACGGGGAAAAUUUUUUACCCAAUUUUUUAUUCGGGGAGGGGACGGGGAUGAGGUGGAAUCCCCAUCCCCUACCCAUUUCCCCAUUUUAAUUUUUAUUUUUUAUUUUUAAAAUUACUAAUAAAUAUAUAACAAAAUUAUAAAUAUUGGCAAGAUAUGAGUGGAAUUUUGGGUGUGACAUGUAUAUUUGAUCCAAGGUAUAAAAAGAAGUUCAUUGAAUAAUACUUUUCUUUUUAUUUUUAAAAUUACUAAUAAAUAAAUAACAAAAUUAUAAAUAUUGUUAAAAAUAAUAAAUAUCAAAAUAGUUGUAUGUUGGGAAAGUGGUCACCCCUUACCAGGAAUUAGUGGAAGAGUAUCAAUUGAAGUUUUCACCAAUUGUUUAUUGCUUUGAUUAUACUGGUUGUAGUUCUUCUAUUAGAUCUACAGGGGAUUCUUAUAAGAAAGCAACCAAAUGGAUGACAUGUUUUGAUGAUUAUGUAAACAAUGGAGAUUGUGCAGUUGUUGCAGAUGAAUUAGAUUCAUAUUUGGAUGAAAAAGUUAUACCCCGGAUGGAAGAUUUUAAUAUUUUGAGUUGGUGGAAGACAAAUGCUAAUAGGUAUCCUACAUUAGCUCGAAUUGCUACAGGACGAGCAGGAGGUAAAUAGUUUUAUUAAAAAUAUUAAUUAAGUAUCUACAUUUAUUUCAUUUAUUUUAUUGCCGAUGUAAAAAAUAUUUUUUUUUUCUUUUUAUUGUAGGAUUAUGAAGAUUGAGACAUUGAUAAAGAUAAUUAUUUUAAUAAUUUAUAUUUUGAAUGUGACUUUGUAAUGGAUCAAUAUUAAUGUAAGAUAUAUUUUAAACUUUAUUUUUAUCUGAAUUUUUUAUUUUAAUAUGAUUAAUUUAAAAUCAAAAAUAAAAAAAUGUAUUAGACUAUUAAUUAUUCGGAGACCGGGGACCCUCGGGGAUCCCCUGUUAUUAUUCGGGGAGGGGAUGGGGAUUCUCUCAAGCAAUUCUAACGGGGACGGGGAGGGGACGGGGACAUACGCAAAAUAUCGGGGAUGGGUAUGGGGAGAUUAGUCCCCUCCCCUCUCCUCCCCAUUGCCAUCCCUAGAUUUUUGCCAUCCCUAUCGAAACCUCUACCCACCACUAUUAGAGUUAAAAAAAUCUCUGAUAUGAGUGUAUUCUUCUAAUUUGAACUCUAACGUGAUUUUUUGAGAGAUUCAUUGGAAAAAAACCUUAAGGAGUUAAAGAAGAAAUUUAAAAAAAAAAUCAUAAAAAGAGGAAUGAAAAGAAAAAGAUGCUUUACCAAGAGUUGAUUGACAGUAAUUGGUAAAUUUGAGCAUGCAAUAAAAUUUACCCAUAUAUUCAUAUGACAUAAAAUAUAAUUUUAUUCAUUAAUUACACUACUAAUUUGUCUAAAUUUUAGUUUUUAAAAAAAUAAAUUUCUAUAUAUUUACAUAAAUCUUAGUUUUUAUAAAAAUAAAUUGAAAAAUAAAUUUAUGUUUUUAUAAAAAUAAAUUUAUGUUUAUUUUUUUACAUUGACCUGAAGAAAAGACUAGUACUACUAAGCUGCUGUACGGCCAAGGCGGAUGUACGGUACAGCAGCAAUUUGACUGUUUGGGGGUGGGGUUGAUGGCUUACAUCAAAGUUAGUGUGUGCUAAGGAUUAACAAUAAUAAUGGGGUAAAUAUGAAAUUAAUCCUUGCCCAAGCAUUAGAAGUUCGUCGGUUUUCUUUUAACCGGAUAAUUACCGGUGAAUAUGUCACGCGUUCCUACACGUGGCAGCAUCUAAUUUAUUCGCUUGUCAUUUCAGUUUCUGUUAGUUACAGUUUCUGUAACGUAGCUAGCUCCGUCAGGUACAGGCAUGUUGUAACUUACGUUUCUCGUAAAAAUCAUAUAAGUUCUAUUUCUACCGCUAGGGUGAGCAUGGGUUGAUUUGGAUUAAAUUUUAAGUUAAUUUAAAUUAAAUUAUAAAAAUUUGGGUGUAAUCUAAAUUAAUUUAAAUAUUUUUAACAUAACUCAUGGGUUGGUUAAAUCAAACUAUAAAAAUUUGGUCCAACUCAAAUUAACUCAAAUAUUUUCAACACAACCCAAAGCAACUCAGUUGGAUUUUAUUAAAAUUAUAAUAAUUAUUAAUUGUUUUUAAACCAACCAUUUUGAGUUUGGUUUGGAUUUUAUUAUCAAAAUAUAUUUUUUAUUUUGAGAAAUUUAAUUUUAUCAAAAUUAUAAUAAUUAUUAAUUGUUAUUACUUAUUAAAUUGAUAAUAACAUAUAAAAAUUAUAAUUCAUAAAAAUUAUAAAUAACAAAUUUUACAAUAACUUAAUCCUUAAAUUAAAGAAUACUAGAAAAUUAAAAUAAAGUUUAAUCACAAAAAUCAUUAUUUAUCAAUAAAUAAGAAAAUUCUAAUAAAAAACUUCUACAAGCACGAUAUCGACAAGUAAAUUCAAAGAAAGAAAGAAAGAAAGAAAAGACUAGUACUACUAAGUAUUAACCCUAUUACAACACAAACUCUAACAAUGUCCAUACAAAUAAAAAAAAAUAAGACAUUCUAACUCAAGUGUCAAAGCAAUCCAUCAUAAUCAUUUCCAUCCGUAGUACUUUAAUCGAGAGAUUCCACGAUUAACUGACAAAAUGUAUGACAAUGAUAAUUUACAUUGAUUAUGACAUAAUAGAGAUGGAUUUGUCAAAGCCAAAUCAUUUGCUGGAAAGGAAUUUAGUUGAAGUAGGAACCAAAAUUCAACUUAGAUGGAUCUAUAAAAUUGGUCAUUCAAUACAUAAGUACUUUAUCAACAGAUUCAACACAUUAUAAAUUUAUGGAUUCAACUAAGUUACAACCAGCUGCAACUUAUUCCUCUCACAUAAACAAUAAUACAGCGGUAGGCUAUAUUAUUUACAAAAAGUACUUAUGUAUUGAAUGACCAAUUUUAUUACCUGCAAAAUUAAUUAAUCUUUCACUCUAUCAUCUAACUAAUGGAAGGCAAUCUUAUUUUAGGUUGUAAUGAUUAGAAACUAGCAGGAAGUGGGGGCGAUGCUCCAUAUUAAUUUGGAUAAAUCCCUUUCUAGUGAAGAAGUUAAAAUUAUAAAAUAGAGAUCAAGAUAGAAAUUUAAAGGCCCCGAUUGUUUUUUACAGACUUAAAAAUGAUAUUGAAAAAUUAAAAGCUAAUUUUAGUAUUUAAAAAUUACUUUAAGAAAAAUCACCCUAUCUUCCUGUAAAUUUUGAAAAGCAUGAAAAGAGCAGUUUUUCAAAAAUUGAUUUCGAAAAUUAGUUUCAUACUUAAUACAAUUCCAUAUAUCCUAACAUUUAUUAUAAAAAUUCAAAUUAUCCUUAUUAAAUUAGGAAAUAAAGUCAGUACAUUUAAAUAAGAGUGAUGAUAUAGACACAAACUCUUGUACCAACUGACGUAGCAUUAAUUUAUUAGUUGAAUGAAAAUAUAAAAUAAUAUAAAUAAAUCAUGUGGGCCAAGAAAUAUUUAAUUUAACCAAUUUUAUCAUGUCACAUUAUAAGCAACUUAUAAACUCAUUGGAUUCGACUCUUUACUAAAAUAAAAAUAAAUUAAUAUAUAUAUAUAUAUAUAUAUAUAUUUACAUACAUAAAAUGUGAUUAUAUACACAUAUUUAUAAUUGAAUAUGUACAUAAAUUCUGUAGAUUUAUGUCUAUCUAUACAUUUGCAUUCUUACCACAUUUUAAAAGUGUGAUUUACCAAAUACAUGGGACUUAUUUGAAAUUUAUAGCACUUUUAUAAAUAAAAUUUAUCAAACGUUAAACAGAUUCUCUAUUUUCGCGUAUAUAUCCUCAUGUAAAUUAUAAAAAUUCAAAAUUAUCUUUAUUCAAUUAGGAAAUUAAAUCAUUAUUUUUAAAGAGAUUCUUAUUAUUACUAAUUAGAUUCAAAUAACCAAAAAAAUACAAUCAAUAAAAUAAAAAUAUUUAUUUUAGUUAUCAUUUAUUAUAUACACAUAUUUAUAAAUGCAUGUGUAAAUAAAAUUUUAUAGAUUUAUGUCUAUUUAAGUUAUUUGCAUUCUUACAACAUUUAAAAAAUGAGAUUUACUAAACACAUGUGAUUGUUUUUAAAAAAGUUACAACACUUUUAAAAAUAAAAUUUAACAAAUGUUUAAUUGACUCUCUCCAAAGGUAAUUGUUUUUACAGUAUAGCUAAAGUAAUUUAUAAAUUUAUGAUAAGUAUUUGUGAAUAUUGGUCUAUGUAAAGAAGUAAAAACAACAUAUAUAUUAAGCAGCAUGAUAUUAAAACUCUUAGUAAAAUACAUAUACUAAUAAAAGAAAGACAACAAUGCAAUAAAUAAGCUUAUAAUAUAAAUUAUUAAAAUUGUAUAUUAAAAAAUUAUGCAUGAAAUUCUUUUUCUAUUUUGGUGAUAGAGAAUGCGAUAUAAUUGAAUUAUUUGAUUUAAUAAAAAAAAAAUAUGACUGUGAAGGAAAUUAACAAUUGAAUUGUGGAAUGUUAUUAAUUGUUAUUGUAUCAUUUUGCAACGUUCUAAUAAUAUGGACAAUGUUACAGUAUAUUGAUGGGCGGUAAUAUUUUCACCUCUUAAAUUGUGUAAAGUCAGCUCCAUUUAAAAAAAUUAUAUAUAAAAAGCCCAUUAGUUUUAAUAGUUUCAAAUUAAGAUUAAAUGCAAAUAAUUAACCAAUUAAAUCCUUAUUAAUAAGAUCAUUGAGCUUUAAUUAAACUAAUAAAAUGCAUUUGAUAAAUGAAAUUUACGAUAUUUAAUUACAUGAAAUUUAUUGACUACAUGAAUAAUAUAAUUGUUCAGCUGUUUAAACUUUUUCCCUAUUUAAAUUUUAAAAAACAAUGUGAAAUUUUGUAAAUAGUUCUUUGAAAUGGGGUGGAUUUACACCAUUUGUGCAGUGCAAAUAUCCUAAUUCUAACAUUUUUUUUAAAAAAAAAGACCAAAUCAUAACAUUUUUUGUAUACUAAGUUAAAGUAGUACUAACAUUAUAGCCCCCUAAUGAUUUCAAUUCAUUCAAUGAAUAUAUAAUUUAAGCAUGUUAUAAACUAAGUCUCUAAAUCGAAUUAAAAAAAGAAAAAAGAGCUUAAUUGCUGACAUAGUUGAAAAUAAAAUAAAAAAUUUUAUUAUUAGAUGAAAAAUUAUGAAACUUAAGGGGUAUAAGCGAGUCGGCAGCUGCUCACCAGGGCAUAUGUAAUAUUUGUUAAUACAUUUCAAAAUUUUAGGUUUUUUAAUAAUAUUUUCAAUACAUUUUCUAGAAGGUUUAGAAAAAAAAAAUGACUCAAUACUUUAAUCGAGCUAUGAAUAAACUCAUGUGUUAAAAAAUUUCAUAUUUACACCCAAUAAGAUUAAUUAAUGGGUGAUACAAAUUUAAGAUAGUUAAUAAUAAUAUAUAUCAUCUUAAGUUAACUUCAACUCAUUAACCUUGUAUAAGGUUUGAUGGGUCGUGCCGCAAAUUAUCACCUCUAAUCCUUUUUGCAACAGGCAUGAUGAAUGCUAACAAAAUGAAACUUCUAUAUAUUUAGUUGUUAUUCUUUUUAAUGAAAUAAUAAGGAGCUUUGCUGCAAAUUUCCAUCCAGCAUGGCAUGGACGCACGUGAAAUUUGCUAGUAUGGUCCUGGACAUGCGUGGCUGAGAUGCUUCUAAAGGCAAAGAAUUCCAAGUUCAUACCAAAUAUAACUUUCUGAUAUUUUUGUGGUAUCAAGUUUGUUUUUCACAAACUAAGGUGUCGGCGUAAAGUUGUUGUCCAUGCAAUGAAGUUUUAUACAUAAAUAUAUUAACCUAAAUUGUUACUAAAGUUCCAUAAUUAGCAGUUCCUGAGAGUUUUUACUAUAUAUUUUUUUGUUUUAAUUCAACAUAUGUUUAUUUAAUACGAUUUUAUUAAAUAAAUGUGCAUAUUUACCAUAUUUGUCUACGAUCAAUUAGUUGGAAAAAAAAAAGAAAAUUAAUAAAUUUAUUUAUUUGAUUGUUAAUGGUUUAGGCAUUUGAAUUCCCACAAAGUCAGGGUGUCAGCUCUGGACUUCUGGUGAUGUAUUUUUCUAAUAAAGAAAUAAAAUAUUGUUGUCAUUUUUUUAAUAUUCUAAUUUACCAAGCCUACCAACCAAUUAAUUUUUCUAAUUAGAUCAUUAAUUCAUUACACGUGCAUUCGCUGGCCCAGUGCUCCAAUCCCAUGCAUGCUGCACAACUCAAUGUGUUUUAAUAAGAAAAGGUUUGGUUAGCCUGUGCUGAUGCCAGAAGCCCCUUAAGGAGUUCAGGUAAACGUAAAUAUGUCCAGAUUUAGAUUUGAAUAUGUAAACGUAAAUAGGUCCAGAUUCAGAUUCGUUGCGCUAGAGAGGGGCACGCACGAUCGGGCUGCUGUCAGGUGGUACGUUGGCGUGGCAAUUCUCAACACGCGCUUCUCCUGGUGCAUACUUACGGCAAGUUGACACGUGACCCGUGUGGAUUGAGUGGACAGAGUCACGGGCACUGAUUUUUGUCAUCCAUAACGACUAACGUCGGAGACUUCGAGAAGAAAGAAAUUGUUGUCGUUUCUAAGGGGAAAAAAAUAUUUAAUUUGUUGAAGACAAAUUAACGUCGGAGAUUUUUUUUAUUUUUUAUUUUUAAUUUUGCAAUCUAAACCAGUCUAAUCAAAAUGUCAAUUUGACAAAAGUUGGACUGAUUUAGAUUAGUUCUAUUAGUUUGAUUGGAUUAAAUUGAAUUAGAUCUUGAACAUCCUAACACUUUUCAUGAAUGUUUUCCUUUUUUUUUGAAAAAAAUUAAUAAGGAGAAUUCCCAUGAAUGUUAAUUUUAUUGAUAAACUUGGCAAUUUUAAGAAAUGUUUUGACGCACGAAUAAUGCAAUUCAUCAACCCACAUAGAUAUGGAUAUAGGAAGCAGAGACCAGAUCGAUCUUGACAUAACGAAAACUUGUAUGUGUAUAUGUAUGUUACAGACCAGAUCGAUCUGUAGCAUAGACUUCUCCUAUAUGUAGGUUAUAUUCAAAUUACAAAAUGAACACAUGUUAAGGAUCUACAACUUCUUCUUUAAUCUAAUAAGCUCCCUCAACUUUAUUCCAAAACAAAAAAGAAUCAAAUUUUUGUUGGAAAUAUUUAUGAAUGAAGAAGCAAAAAGCGCUUGUAUCAAGGAUCUAAUUAAAGAACUGCCAGAGGCAUAGAUCUAUCAAAGCUCCCUCGCAUGACUCUUGGUCUCGGUGGCUUCUUCUUCUUCAUUCCGAAUUUUCCCUCCAUCUGAUCUCUUCCAACCUUUCCAUUUCCAAAUUGAAUUGAAACUUGCCUCAUAUUCGUUUGUUGAAUCCCAUCUUUUGUUGCACCACCAUGCAUCAAAAUCCUUGAAAUCCCAGCAUAAUGCAAGGACUCAGCUAUUUGCAAUGGGGUCACGUUCUUACUUGUCCUUGCCUCAACAUCAGCUCCCUUCUUCACAAGCAAUUCAGUCACAUCUGUGUGGCCAGAUUCCACCGCACAAUGCAAAGCUGUGUACCCAUCUUCAUCUUUAGCAUCAACAUCAAUCCCUUUAUCAAUCAGAAUCCUCACAACCUCAAUCUUUCCCUUAAACGAAGCCCUAUGCAAAGCAGUCCAUCCAUGUAGGUCUUUCCCAUUGAUCGCGGCGCCUGCUUCGAUCAACCUCUGCAUUGUCCUCACUUCCCCUUUCCUAGCGGCAAUACACAGGCUGUCACCAAGCUUCAACGCGUCAAAGAGACGGGAGUGACCGCACUCAGCAGCAACAUCAUAAGCGGUCUUUCCGCUCUUGUUUCUAAUAUAUUUAUUAGCACCCUUCUGCAAUAACAGCUUCACCAUUUGCUCAUAUCCCAAGCUUGCGGCGAUAUGCAAAGGCGUGUCACCGUCUCUAGCGUUGCGUAUAUCAGGCCUUGCUCCGUUUGCUAACAGAAGUCUCGCGCAAUCUCUUCUUCUGUCUUCAACCGCGAGAUGCAGAGCUGUGUUACCAUCUUUUGUUAAAGCAUUGACAUUAGCACCUUUGAUUAAGAGAAGCUUUAGUACUUCCAAAUGGCCGCCUCGUAAGGCCAAGUGUAUGGGCCCCCAUGUUGAUGUUCCUGAUCUUUCUGUGCUGGCUUUCCUCGCCAACAAGAGCUCAACAAUAAGUGCUUCCCCUGCAGCCGCCGCGGCUUCAAGUGGAGUACUGCAGCCACACCUGCCUUGAGACUCAACAUCCGGCCCAAACUCAAGCAAAAGUUGAACAAUAUCAGGCCUCCUUUGAGCUAUAGCAAUAUGAAGCAACGUUUGUCCCUGCGCAUCGGCAGAAUCAGCCGGGUUCCAAGCCGGGUCACUCCGCUCAAGAACCUCUCUUAAAUCAUCCAUUUCACCAUCCUUAACAAGCAGAACCAAAACAGGAGACCCAACGAACAUGAUCUUGAUUCCGCUGUCGAUGAACACUUGCUUCUUCCUCGUUGUGAACCAGUCACUGGGGACGGAAUCAAGCGUCGACGUUGCAUCUUUAAUUCCAGCUCCAGGAACAACAACGCUGUGCAAGAGGAAGGAAUCAUCACAGUGAGGGAAAGAAUCAGGAAGAACCGAUCCUGGAGGGAGAUGAUACGCAAUCUCUACGCUUAGUGUUGCGAGUGGUGAUAUGAUUCCUGAUUGCGGCUUCACAGUAUAACGAGCCUUGUUUGUAGGCUGAAUCCUGAAAGCAACAGGCAUCGUGUGCAUGACAUUGCGGAGAGUCAGCUCCCCGGAACAUUUCUGCCCUGGUUCAAUUCUGAUAGCUACAAGGUUCGACGGCUCCAAGCUUACAAGCCUAUCCAUUGAUUAAUUUUCUCUCCGUUUCCCAAGGACUGCUGAAAGGGGUUCUUUGAACUUUUUGAUUCAGGCUUAUUUUCUUCACUUUUGGUGGCAUGGGGAGGAAUUAGAGGAGUAACUGUAAGAGCUGCAAGUGUUGGUGUAAUCAACUGUAAUAUAAGGAGAAGAGAGGGCCGGCUCUAAUGGGAGACUGCCACGUGGUGGUGUUAAAAACAAUGAGACUUGUUCUGUUCGGCGUCCGGAGUGUAUAUACAGUUGUGUUAGUGGUGAAAGUUAAAGAAAUCCUGAAGUUAUUUUCGGAGUGGCUUCUGCAAAGUCACUUUCAGGAUUGUAUUGUAUCAUUAAAAAACAAAGCCAGUUUUUGUUGUUCUAGUAAAAGGCGAAUCAUUGGACAAACUCGUAAGAAUAUGUUGCCAAAUGUAUAAAAUAUGAAAUUCAAACAAUGAUUACAAUGUGAAAUUGGACAAUGGACAUGGCCUGUGUGAAUUGUUUUGUGGGCUUACUAAUUAAAUUAAUUCACUAAAAAUAAUGUCACUUUUGUGUCUGUGAAGAAGCCGAAAUGGCACAGUCAUUUACGUGGCCAACUACGGUGACUACUUCGUCAGUAGCUGCUCGAGCACUUGGUCAGCACAAGUUGCUUUCUUUCUUGGCGGGAUUAGUUUUUCUUCAUUGCUUUAAGUGGUGCAUUUCUGCAGUUUCAUUUUGCUUUGCUUAUGCCAUUGGAUUUGUGCCCCAUAAAUAAAUAUAUAAUUAAGCGGAAAAGUAUCAAAUUUUGAAAAAGCUUAGGUUUUGUGUGUGUGUGUGUGUGUGUGUGUGUGUGUGUUUUAAGCCGAAUUACUCGGCUAAAAAUUAAUCCGAUUAUUAUUGUUUUGGUGCUUAAGAUGUGACUCUAACCUAAAGCUCAUUUGAACUCUCUUGAUGCUCAUAUGGUAUUUUUUGUGUUGUGUCGUGCUGGCCCUUACACAUCUCGGCUCAUAUUUUUCAUGUUACUAAGUUCUAAUAUGUACAAAAGAAAUAGAGCAAUGUCCGGUGGUAGAUCCAAACACUCAAUUUGGGGUGCUUAUUUUUCAGUCUCAAAUUCGAUUAUUUUCUUUUAAAAUAUUAAAAUAAUAGUAAUAAAAUACUUAUUUUAAAUACUGAGCUCAUUACAACCACAUAUGUAAAAGUAUCAUUUAUAUUUUUUUUCUAAAUAAUCUUCACAAAAUAUUUUAAAAAAUAAAAUUAUGUGACUAUGGGGAUUUGAACCAAGUCUCUCAAACUACUAAAUAACACUUUUACCACUAAAUUACAAAUCUUUUAACAUAUUAAAAGUGCAUCCAAAUUAUUAUUAUUAUUUAAUUAUUUCAUAAGAGAUUUGGGGCACAUUUAAAAGAAAAAAAAUUAAUGGUGCAUAAAGGACUAAAGCCUCUCUUGAGUCCUUGACCUUAACUAGGUCCACCCAUGGUAAUGUCAGUGAUACCCAACUUGAAAAAUAUACAAGAAACUUGGAAAUUUAAAUUAAUGAAUAAAUAAAUAAAUAAAAGGAAACUUAGUGAUUGUAGCUGUUGUAUUGUAUUGUGGAUCAAAGAAUUACAAGUUCUUGGUUUCUCGGUAUUGGCUAAUUUUGAAGUUAAAUGAAGUUCGAAAAUAUUUACAAGCAAUAAAAUUAUCAACUGAAUGAGACAAGGAAAGAGUAUAAAGACCUUAGCAAAUUAGCAAUCCUUCUUUAAUUUAGUAACAGUGACGCUUAUAAAGUUAGAAGACGUAUCAAAUCUAAUUUAGAUUUUGCCCCAUAAAACUAACUUAACUUAUAGUGCGUCUUUGUUUAAUUAGUAAAUAUUCCACAAAAACUGAUCAGCACUUUAUAGGAAAUUCCAAACACGUUUAUAUUCACAAGGAAUAUGUCAAGGAGAAAUGAGAAUAAAAAAAUGUAAAAACUAAUAAAGCUUCAUUAAUUAGAAUUUAUAACCAUAUGUGCUCCUAUACUACUUUUAUUAUUAAGAAUUUGAAGUAGAAGGUAGUUGAUUAUCAUGAAAUUACAAAAUUGUAAACGGAUUUGUUCUUUUGGAAAAAGAAAAAAAAAAAAAAAGGAAGGAUAGUUGAUUACUUGAUUAGUGAGAAAUCAUACGUAUAAAGGACAAAUUGAAAAAUGGGACCUGAAUUGCAACAAAGCUUCAUUGGAAUUAACUGCCGAUAAAAUUAAAUUAGUAUCACCCUACCCUUUCAUCUUAAUAUAUUCGAAAUUUCACCGAUCAAAGUUUCUAGCUUCGAUUUUUACGAUCUCUCAUCCUAAUAACACCAAAAGCAUAUUCAUUCGUUUGUAAGAUUAUGUAACAAAAUAUAGUAAAUAGCCUAUAAUUUUUUUGUUUUACUACUAACCUGUUAUCAUUCUUUUCUAAUAAUACAUGUUAAAAUAUUCACAGAAAAAAUUUAUCCCUAUUACACCCAACCACCUUUUUUUGUGUUUUUUUUGUUCAAAUUUUAGCAUUAAAGGGACAAUAAUGUCCUAUGAAAUAUGCAGAAAGACAGUUAAUAAUAUUCAAAAAUGUAAGUGGAGGUAUCUUACGCCACACACACAAAUUACACGACUCUCAUUAAUGUGUUGUUGUUGUUAUGUGUGGCGUAAGUUACAGUUGAAUGUCAUAUUCAAAAAAGUAAGUGGAGGUAUCAAUCUCCCUAAAUAAAUAAUUUAUGGAAGGUUGUUAGCUGUUGUACUUUUAGUUAAUUUUAAAAUCACAAUAAUAUGGUUAAUGUUAAGUUACAUGCAUGUAACUUAGGAGGAUCCCAAUAAUAUACCAUAUUUUAUUAAUAUGUACAGUAUUUAUAAUAUUUAAAAAUUAAGGAAUUAAUGUACGCAUGUAAAAGCUGCAUUGGAGCCAGUUGGAAAUCUUACUGUCUUGAUAUAUGCAACGAUUGUAGCAGCUAAAAAGGCAUGAUAUUUACUUAAUAUUAUUUCAAACAAUAAUUAUUUAUUUAAAGCAAAUAAUAAUAAUGAGGGCAGAAGGACUAUUCUAGGAUCAAUAUGGUGACAGUAUAAAUAAAUAAUAUUAAUUAUUAAUGCAUUGAUGAGUAUUGUUAAAAUGACAUAAUAGGUUUGUUUCAUUGAAUUGAACCUUUUCUCUUAAAAUAGCUAUAAUUUGUUCUCUCUCUCUCUGUGUUUUUGUUUUUGUUUUUCACUUUAGUUUUACUUCUCUUAAAAAACCAAAAAAAAAAAAACAAAAUUAAUGGAAACUGAUGAUGGGAAGACGGACAAUUUUCUAUAUUGUUAAAUAGAAAUGGGCACAAAUGUGAGUUUUUUGGGGCAAAAAAAUAUAGUCAAUGUACGUAGCGUUUGUCUAUUUGAAAACCCGUCAAUAUAAAAACAGGACGUAAAGCUUUCAGACAAAGUACUCUUAUGGCCGUACUUUCCAUAAACCAAAUCAAAAGAAGGAAAAUAUUUGUGUCUGGCUUCGAUGCGACUGUUAACAUUCACAAAUAAACACCUUUGCAUGGUCAGAAAAAUUAACAAGAAAUUAGAAGGCGAUGUUGCGUUCUACUUAGUUCUCUAGGAUUUGUGUCAUUUGUUUAUGCUACGGUUCGUUCCCAUUUGCAUUGCGUGGAAUAAUUGGCCGAAUAUUAUUAAUCUCAAUCUUAAUCUCUCAACUCUUGUCCCUUUAAUUUUUGUUUGUAUCUUUUUCUUUUUUUUUUUAAAUAUCACAUACAAUGCUUUUAAUAAAUAACUUCAUAGAAAUAUUUAAUAAAAUCCAACAUAUAUAAGUUCAAGAAACUCAAAAAAUAAAAGAAAAUAAACUCACGUUGUCACUGGAGAGACUCAAACAUGCUACCUUAAAAUUAAGUAGAGGGUGCAACUACUUGCACUUUAAAAAAAGAAAAGAAAAAAAAAGGGGCUUUGAACGCUCGUGAUAAUUUGCAAGUUAUGGAGGAUAAUCAUUGUACAAUGGGGAGAACUCUUAUGGAACAAUAUUCAAACUGAUAUUGAAAGCAUAUAAGAAUUUGGCUUGGGUGUUUUGGUGCCAUGAAUGAGUGCAGAAACAAAGAGGAAGCUUUGUCCCUUUAAUUUGAUCUGCUGUAUUAUAAUUAUUGAGAUUAAUCAAAUAAAUAACCGAAACAUGGUUACAGUUUUAUAGUGUAUUGCAAGUCUUUGGAGAUACUAUGUACCUCAAAAAAAAAUAUCGUAUAAAAGAGUGUUUUGUUUCACAGGGGUUCAAUGAGAUUUGAGAUGGCUGUAAUGAAAGUGAUGUAAAUUUUUUGGACUCUAAUGAGGUGUUUUUAGAUGGAGGGGGAUUUACAAGUAUUUUAUAGGGGUGAUAAAUGACUGUAUACCCACCAAAAAGGCCCAUUGUUCGAGUCCAUGAGCAUUACAGUUUUUUUUUUUUUUUUUUUUGAAAUUCAGAACAUGCAGUUUGUUUGAUUCAACUUCCGAAUUACAAAAUUAGAAUAAGAAAAAAAAAUGUGGAUGUUUUUUCUUUAAUUUACAUAAUAAUACAUGGUGUGGACGAUGUCUAUUGAGGGAUAAAAGAGGAAUGGGGGCACUGUGAAGUUUGUGUUUUUGUUUUUUUUAAAUUAUCAUAUUCAUACUGUCUAUAAAAAUAUGCAAGUUAAAAAAUUACUCAUGAUAUUGUUGUUUUUGUUUCAUAUAAUACUACUUAUGCACAUCGCCUCAUGCAAACAUUUCUUAGUUAUGCUUAAAAAAAUGAGAUUCUCACCAUGGGUCACUGUAAAAAUCCACAGAAGCCGUGGAUCACAGUAGGAAGCCCACUUGAACAGAAGAAGCUACCGAAAGCUUCGACAUUGUAUUUAUGAAAUGCUUAGUAAAUUUUGUUUUAUUUUGAAUUUAUAUUAUAAAUGGUGUGUUGCUAAAUUAAAAAAUAAAAAAGAAAUGCAAUGUGUCAAAAUACAAGAAUCUUACGGACAUUUUUGUCACAAUAUAUGUAAAUAAUUCAUAUCUUAUUCAUAUCCUAUGUAAGCUUCACUUGUUUAACACAAUGGUGGUUGAAUCUUCAAAAAUUCAUAAUCUUAAACAACCAAAUUUGGAAUUAAUUAAGCAAAUUGCCUCUAUAAAUUGAUUACAACAACCAACGACGUGUGAAGCCACAUGUCAAUUUCCCUAGACAGCCCAAAUAUUGAGGCGCUGUGAGGGAGCAAGGUGCAAUCGGAUGGGGGAAAGAGAGAGAGCCAAUGGUGAGAAUGGAUCGUGGUGAGGGAGAACCAACUGGUGGUGAGAUUUGUGGCUUCAAUGAGGUGAGUUUCGUGGCGCUGUGAGUGAAGUGAGAUUUGGCAUGAGUGUGAGGGAGAAUGCGUGUGUUGUGUGAGUGAGGUAAGCUGUGUCUGUUGUGUGCAUGGAGACUCUCACCACAAUUAGAAUUUAUAGUUAGCACAGAACGAAACACAAUAUUCUACGCUAACUGUGGAGUUAACCAUGGUGAGAAUAUCAUUAUUGUUUAUUAUAACACUUUUUUUUUUAAUUUGUUUUGACAAUAAAAUAAAGAACCUUGUAAGAAAACCUCAAUAACUCAAUUAAAAAACCAACUCAACCGAUGAUAGGUAAAUUGAGAAAUUUUCAACUAAAAAUUAUUAAGAUUGGUUUUAACUUCAAAUCAUAGUCACAUAGUUUUGUCCUUAUAAAGAUCAAAAUAAUGAAUUCUAACUCCGAAGUUUUUAGAUUUAUGUGACGAACUGACGAUAGUAUAUUGAAAUCGAUUGAAAUGAAAAAUUUAAUUAAAUGCAAUUCAAGAUGUAGUAUCAAAUUCAAACGAUUCGGAUUGUUUUAAAAAUUUCAAUGCUUUAAUCUAAAUCGAUUAAUCAAUUACACUCUUGCAAUUAUAUACCGUUAAAACUAAAAUAUGUAAAAUUUAGGGUGCAUUUAUUACCAUUUUCAAUUUGUUGUUUUUCGUUUUAUGAAAAGGAAAAUACAGAAAACUUGUUUGGUGAGCUCAUAUUGGUGGAAAACUGUACAGUGAUUAAAAACAAAAAAAAAUUCAUUUUUCAAUGUUUACAAAGGAAACAAGAAAACGCUAUUACACUGGGUUCUCUAUUUUAUUUCACUUUUACUCUCUGCCAAGGCCCUACCAUCUUAACUUUUAUAACAUGGUGUAAUAAAUUACGUGGGCCCAUUUAAUAAAGAAAUAAUCUAAUAAAUAAAUUAUUAUAACAAAUAUUUAAAAAUAAUAGCAUUCCAUACCUUACAGCUUAAUUACUUAAUAUAUUACCCAAAUUAUUUUAAAUAAAAAGUGAUAUCAUAUAAUUAUUAUACUAAAUUAUUACAUUGUUCGACCAAUAUGCAGUUAUUUAAAAAUUACUACAAACUUUCUUACAUAUAUUAAUGAAAAUAUAUCAAUAAUAAAGUUACAUCUUGACAGUUAAUAUAAAUAAAUAUAUGAUAAUUAUGAAAUAAUUAAAGAUUUUCUCAAUUAAUAUUAUCUUAUAACUACAAUUUAUUUACAUAAUUAAAAGUUUUUAAGAAAUUAUUAAAAUAUCUUCAAACCUAUAUGCAUUUAUAAUAAUAUAUAAUACAUCAUAAUAUAAUAACUAAAUAGAUAAAUUAUUUAUUAAUAUAAAAUAUAUGUUUAUAUUCAUUAUAUAAUAUUAUUCUUUCAUAGUAGUUUCAUUAAAUAAUUCUCUACUCUCUCUCUUUUUAUCUUUAUUUUUUCGGACAGACAAGUAACCAAACACCGCUUCACCUUUUUUUUAUUUUCAAAUACUAUUCUUAAAAUAAACUACCAAACAUAUUUUUAUUUUUAACAAAAACUAAUCAUUUUUAUUUUAUAAAACAAAUUGAAAAGUACUAUUUAAAAUAUAAUACCAAACUUACCCUUAAUAAUUUUAUAUUUGUCAAAAAGAUGAGAAGCUAAGUGGCACUAUCGUUUACCUAUUCAAACUAAACGUGGAGUCACAAUAUUGAAGACACUUUGGUGGCCACAACACUCUUUUCUUUAGUACGGAACAAUCUGGCUUACAUGACACUACAUAAAAAUAAAUAAUAAAAAAUCACCGAUUCCAACUGCCCCGGACAAAAAACAGGCCACACGUAAAAAGGCUUCUAUUUUUAUUUUUAUUUCUCCCCAUUUUAAAGAUGACGUCAUGGUGAUUAUGAAACCAGAAAAUAACAAAUUUUAGUUGUCUGAUUUUGUAGUUAUCCAGCGAAAACUAAAAAAACAGUGAACGCAGCAGCAGAUCUCCGUGUUUGUCGUCGUUCGAUGAGAGAUUCCGAUUCGUGAGCAUCGCAAGUGUUGAAAUGGAAUCAGACGAAAUGAGGAGUUAGCCUCUUAUUAUAUAAUAAUAAUAAUGAUAAUAAUAAUAAUAACUAAUCUCUUUUAUCAUAUAAUUGAUAAUGGAAAUUCACAUUGACAAAAGGCAAAUUACACACUGACUGGGCAGAAUAAAAAACAGUCUCUCUCAAAAGCAAUAAUUUAAACACUAACACCACCUUAAGGAGACACCCCAAAAAUAAAGCAGCAAGCUCUUACUGUGACCACACACACACACACACACCAAACUUUUAUUAUAGAAUAAAUCUAAGAUGAUGGAUGAUGGAUGCGUCACAUAAAAGUUAAUUAAUUUAAUCGCUGUCACUGCUGCUGCUGCUCUCGUGUCCGUCCUCGUGCUUCUUCUUCUUCUCCUUCUUUUUCUUCUUCUCUUCACCGUGGGCGGCGCCCUCGCCGCCGCCGACACCGGGGAUCUUCUGCUUGAUCUUGUCCACCAAGCCCUCCUUGUGUUCGCCCUCCUUGUGUUCCCCGCCGUGAUGCUGCUGCUGAUGGUGAACAUCAGUAGUGCCGACACCGGGGAUCUGCUGCUUGAUCUUGUCCACCAAGCCCUCCUUGUGUUCGCCGCCGUGAUACUGCUGCUGAUGGUGGACAUCAGUAGUGUGGUGGUCCCCACUAUGGUGCUCUCCCUUGUGCUUGUCCUCCUCCUUUUGCCCUCCUCCCAUGUGAAGGGCUUCUCCGAUCUUGUGAAUAACUCCUGACAUUUUCCCUUAAAAUGACUCUGUUCCUCUUCUUUUCUUUUCAAUGAAAAAUAGUUGUUUGCGAUCUUCUUCUGGUUGUUGUUGUUCUUGUUGGGUGAUCUUGGCUUGGUAUUUAUAGGCUCCAAAAGGAGGGACUAGAAUUAGGAUUAGAUUAUAGAUUAUUUUAAUACAUUUUAUGGCAAAUUCUGAUUUGGAAAGAUAAGAUUAUCCUUUUGGUUUUCCUUAUUUACCCUUUUGCACCCAUUACGUGUACGCGUCUUCGUGGGCUUUUUGGGUAUUUCAAUUAUAUCGCCAAUGCUAAAUCGACACGUUGCAUAUCAGCCGCGGUACUGCCGUAUGUAGUUGUCCAGAAAUCGAGUCGAUUCUCGAUCGUACAAUAAUUAAAUAAUAUUUCAUACGAAAUGAGUUUAGAUAUAUUUUGAAAAUUUAUUUUUAAUUUAAUUAUACGUGUUAUAUAUUUGUUAAUCGAAUAGAGGUCCCACGUAACAGAGUGUUUCUCUAAUCUUUCAUUGCUUUUAAUUAAUUUUACCCAAAUAAAAAAAAAAAGGAAAAUUUAGAGAGAGAGAGAGAGAUAGCGAAUUAGAAGUUGAUUGUAAUAUCGACACCUGUCAGACAAUCAAAUAUCGUUAGUUAAAAAUCAGUUGUCCAUAGUCAUGGUCAUAGAUGGCGAAAUUGAUACUUAUUUUAAAAAACAAAACAAAACAAAACGAAACGAAACUAAACUAACAGAUGUUGAAAUGCAGUUCCGUGUUAACAGUCUGUGAUGAAUCUUUAUCUUUGAGUAUACCAUUCAAGAAAUUAUCAUUCAAAAAUUUAUUUAAAGCAGCAGCAAAUCACCUUCUAAUUCCUGAAUCAAAUUAAUUCGAUUUUUUUCGAGUCGAUCAAUUCAUUAGAGAAUUAACGGGCUAAGUUAAAGUUUUGUUAGUUAUUUUUUUUUAUAUUCCUUUAGAUGAUAUGAUUGUCAUUGUCUUUCUUUCUCUGGGCAACAAUAAAUACAAGAUGUGCAAAAGCGUAGUGGAACAUAAUUCGAUUAUGGGUAAAGGGAUCAGUCCGCAUAAUGAGGAUAAAGUUUUUCUCUUUAAAAAAAUUUAACCCAAAGAAAAGGUCGUAGUUUGUAAUAGCCGACACGCAGAUAGAUCACAAAGCAUGGCGGUCCUGAUGGCAAUAACUAACUGAUAUCUUCUGCGAUGAGAGGAGAUCACGUGGUUCUGACACGUAUCGCCCCAUCAACUGAUGUUGUGGCUGCAAUCGCGGCCCAGUCUUUAGAGAGAAGAAAGAUCUGUUAUAACGGGACCUACUUUAGCAUCUAUUUACGACAAAGCCCCUAUUUACUCUACUUAGUAGUAAUAAUAGCAAGUGUCGGGCUUGGAUUCCGUGUUGCUUUAAAUAAAUAUCCGCGUAAAAAGAAAAUGCUUCUUUAAUCCCUUCCUUGUAAUUUUUCGACACGUGGAUGGUUGAAAUUAGCGUGCCGACAUCUUAGGAAUUUUAUCUUGGAGACGGGAACACUGCAGUAGGCAAUGCCAUUUUCUUCGGAUGGUGUGUGGUGACAACGCCUUGGAUUUUGACGUGCAAAGAAUUUAAAUUGAAAAAGAAAAAAAGAAAUUACCAGAAUAAGCAUAGAAGAGAUAUUUUUCUUUUUGUCCUUUUUGGAAUGGAAAAAGAGAUCAAGAGAUUGUUCCAGUAAGUAUUACACAUGUCACAGGCUUAUUCAUGCCCCAUUAUGGCAACUUUUAUGCCUCGCGGUGCCCUCGGUUCCAGCAUAAUAGCUAAGACUUCAAUUUUUCUAACAUAUUUUUGUUACAAAUAUGAACGGAGUAAAUGUAUAACUUUAAUCCUUUGAAUAAAGAAAUGGCGGUUCUCCUGCUCGUUAAUCUCACUUGAAUCCCACCCAGGCAAAAUUUCUUUAUUUUAUUUAACAACAAUUUAAAGAAAGAAACUUUUGCCAGGUUGAAUUUCAAGUGAGAUUCAUUCGUGGGAGAAGUGCCAUUUCUUUAUUCAAAAGAUUAUGGUAAUUACAACUUUCAAUUUCGACAUAAAUUAAAAUUAUAGGCUAUACAAUAAAAUUGCCCUAAAUUAGUCCUAAUCAAUUCAGAUUAUAAAUUUAGGUAUAUUUAUUAUUUUAAUAUAUUAAUGUUCUAUAUAUAUAUAUAUAUAUAUAUAUAUAUGUGUGUGUGUGUGUGUAUNNNNNNNNNNNNNNNNNNNNNNNNNNNNNNNNNNNNNNNNNNNNNNNNNNNNNNNNNNNNNNNNNNNNNNNNNNNNNNNNNNNNNNNNNNNNNNNNNNNNNNNNNNNNACAGCAGAAAAUAUUUGCUAUGGAUAAGGAGACAUGGUCCCACGUCCCACCGUCCCAAUGCAUAUUUUGUAUGUUUCCAUCUUUUCUGAAAUUUUAAUAAAUAAAGUUUUUUGACCACUUGGCCAAAGAACCUUACCCUUACACAACUUUGUGGUUGGAGUCCUGUGAUACAUGUAAGAACUUAUUUUUUUUCUUAAUUAUAAUAUUUUAGAAUAUAAUUAAGUGAAGUAGGUUUUUUUUUUAAAUAUGAGUAAAAUAGAUAUUUUUUAAAUAUUAAAGAGAGUAAAAUUUGAAUAAUAAUAUAUUAAAAUUAAUACAAACUAAUUUUAAUAAUUAUUUAAUUAUAAAUAUCAAUUAUAACAUCAUAUAAUAUCAAUUAUAAUAUCGUACAUCUCAAUUAAUUCAAUAAUAAUAAUAAUAAAUGUUUUUUGGGAUAAGUAAACAGUCGCAUGGCGACAAUAGUGGAUCUGGAUUAGAGUGAAGUGGUCCCAAGAGGCUGAGGCUGUGGCUGUGGAGUUCUAAAAGUCAAAAGCUCCACGCACUUUGUUUCAGUACCAUACACACUGAAAAAAUUUGCAUUUGCAAUGACGAAAACUUUUCACGAAAUCAAAACACCUCUAAACUAUUUUGUUAUCGAUAUUUAAUGGAGGGGUUUCCUACCUUUUUAACACUCGAUUCACGCCUUGACGCAUCUCACAGAAAACCUCAUGAUCCCAUUAAUCUUGCGUAACAUAUCUCAAAGCCAAUGCAAGUGAUCUUGUUGCCUACUUCCCUUUGACGAUUCAAAAUUGUUGAAAAUAAUUCUUUUUUUUUUUAACCUCAAGGAAGUGACAAAAUAUAAAAGAAUAUUUUCUACACAUUAAACAUCUAGAUUUUUUUUUCUUUUCUUUUUAGAGUACUUGCACAAACCGUUUCCAAGAGAGACCUUUUUUUUUUUUUUUUUUUUCCGGGCUUGGUUACUAAUUUGGUGUGAAUACUCUAUGGUGAAAAAGGAAUCACAAAGCUGUAAUCAAUUUUUUUGCAUCAUUUAGUUGUAACUUGAACAUUGGGAGGUUUAUAAAGAAUUAAAUUAAUUAUAAUGCCUCUACUAGGAAAAGUUCAGAGUAGCCCUUCACAACUUUUUAAAGGCUUAAUAAUUUUCGCUUUCUUCCUCUCAUAACAUAACAAAAAAUUAAGAGCUUUACUCGUACACGUCCUAUGGCUAUAUAGUAUUGGGUUCUCUACUUCAAUCGGCUAUCUCAAACCGAAGGUUAUUUGGACACACCAGCAGUCACGUUUGGAAACUCUCAAAUGCUUGGAUUGUAAUUCUUGUGGAUGAGAUCAUCUAAAUCUUGGGCCCAAGCCGGACAAUGGGUGGACAAAGAACCCUAAAAUACAGUAAAGCUUCUAACACCCCACUAAAACUCUUAAGAAAUCCUACCUUUUAUUUUUAUAUCUCUUUCUUUUAGAAAUUAUAGAGAAGACAUAGCAUUUUAAUUAUUUUCCCUGCCAUUGAAAAUAAAUUCUGUAAACAUAUUUUUUCAUAAUAAAAUUAUUGUUAUUAGAUAAUUUAUUUCUUCAUUGUUUCAAAAUUAUUAUAAUUUUAUCAACAAAAUUAGUUAUGUCAUAUAUUAGGAUUAAAAUUAAUUAGGAUCCAUAACUUGUAAAGACAUUUUAGUUUAAUUGAAUUCAUAUUUGUCAUUUUAUGUAAUUUUCAAUAAAAAUACGACUAUGAGUGCAAAAGUGGGAUGACAUAAUAUUAAAAGAGUGUGAAAUAAUCGGUAAUUGAAAUGGAUUGAAAUCAUAAUAGAGUAUGAAAAUCAGAAUAAAUUGUUUACUUUAGUUGUAGAAAUCAAAAUUAAAAUAAACCAUAUUAUCAUUGAUGUAUAUAUGUUUUCUUGUAAUCGAAAUGAAUUCUUAUAAGUUACUAUAAGACCCUUAUGGUGUGUUUACUAAUCAGAAAUCAGAAUGGAGUGGAAUUUGAAUAUAGAAUGGUAGGGGUAUUCGCGGAUCGGAUUUUACGGAUUGGACAUUAAUUCAUAUCCGAUCCAUAAUUUUACGGAUUAUAAAUUCUCAACACAAUCCAAAUCCAAUCUAUAUGUUUGCAGAUCGGAUGCGGAUUUGACUCAAUUCAUAUCCAAUCCACUAUUUGACGGAUUGAUUUUGGAAUUAAAAAUUUUUAAUUUUGUCCAAUCUAUGAGGUAAUUAAAUUUAAAAAUCUAAUAUAAAAAUAAUUUAUUAAAUAAAAAAUUAACGUAAAAAUAAUUUUACUACCAAUUAAAUUCAAAAUUGAACAAGAUUUAAAUAAAUUAAUUAUUUAAAUAAAACUAGAAUAAUUUAUUUAAAAUUUUUAAAUAUAACAUAUCGAAAAAAAAUUCAUUUGUUUAGAUUAAUAUAUGAAAAUUAACUAAAAUUAUGAAUUUAAAUGUUGAAAUUUGAGAGCUUGGAUGUAACAGGAAGAAAUUAAGAAACUUGAAGAACUUGAAAAGAAA